rnacentral:lncRNA from 1 species
GGUAACAGUGGAGCGUCUAAGACAUCAAAUCAAAACUGAAAGGAAAGCCUCGCGAACAAGCAAGGCAUACCGACCAGAACUGAAGAAGCGGAAACACUCAACAAAGUCCCAGAAACUAAGAACCUGAAAUAAUAUUAAAAAUGAAAGGUGAGUUCAACCAACUUAGUGAGGGAAUAACAUUUAAUAUACAUUUCAUAUAUUUUAGAUAUUAUUUGCAAGAUGAUUUAUCUUGAUAUACAUAUACAUAUACAUAUACUUACUAAACAUAAUAUCAUAACAUAACAUAUUAUUAUAACGUAGUGGAUUACAUGUCAGAGAUCAGAUGACACCCGUCGGUGACCAGAUGACACCGUCGGUUACCACUGUGGGAUGAUCAAUCGCCACAGGCUGAUGCCUCUCUCACCAGCUAGGUAUACAGAAUACUAUGUGCACACAGGCUAACUACUCUCUGUUAGCAUGGAGUUACUGACAAGUCCCAUAUCAAGGCAUAACAGAUAUUCACAUAAUCCUCAGAGAAACGUAUAUCAUAUCAAAUAGAAUUUACUUUAUCAGAUUGCGAGUGCAAAUUCAAGAAUAAAUAAGUACUCGGAAAAUAAAGCAACAUAUAUAAAUAUUCAAGAAAUUUACUAGUUGUACUCAUUGUAUAAUCAACAUAAAUAUUUAUUUAUAUUAUAUGCAUAUUAAAGAUUAUUCCACUCACCCGGAAAAAUACUGAACUAAAAGGAAUGUCGGACGAAAGACCCGAAAAUCCUAUUAAGGAUCGUUAGGAGAACCUACAAUAAAUAUAUGAAAUAUACUCAAAAACAAAUCAAACAAAAGAUCCCAAUGCAUAAAAUAAAACCGGGCUUAAUCUCCUAAGUUUAUGGACUAAAACGACAAUUUUCCAAAACAGGGACCAAAACGUAAUUUUACCAAAAUUUGAGGACCGAAUUGUAAAUAUAUAACCAUACUGAAAUUUAUCCAUAAUUCGUCCUAUCUUUGUCCAGAAUCUUGAAUUAUGCCCAAGGUCCAAAAUGUGAUUUUAUCAAAUUUAGGGUCAAAUCGUAAUUUGUCAAAUUGGAGGACCAAACUGAAAAUAUUAAUUAUACUGGAAUUUUGUCCUUAAAUCAUCCUCAGUUCUGUUCAGAACCUCAAUUUAUGCCCCAGGGACCAAUCUGUAAAAUUUCCAAAGUUCGGGGACUAAACUGCAAUUUCCACAAAUUGAGGGACCAAACUGAAUUUUCGUCAUCUUCAACCUCAAACCCAGAAUUUCAACAGAUCACCUACUGUUAUCCCCUGAUUUCUAACACAAUUUCACCAUUUAAACAAAAUCAUAACUCAAAAUCAUUAUCCUUCAAUUCAAUCUCUCAAAAUCAACUAAUUAAUCAAAUACCCACAUAAUCAACUCCUAACCUUCAAAUUAAUUCAUCAAUUAACUCAAAAUACAAACUUCAAAACUCUAAAAUUAAUCAAAACCGAAAUUUAACAUAUUAUACACUUAAAACCAUAAAUCUUACCUUUUACUUAUUUCCUCUACUUCUUUUCUUUCCCUUAUUUUCCCUUCUUUUCUCUUCUUCUUCUUCUUCCUCCCUUCUCUCUCGGUUUUCUUCUCAAAAUUCAGAUCCUCUUUUUUUUUUUUUAUAUAUUUAUCAACUAUUGGUCAAUUACCACACUACCCUUCAAUCAUUUAUACUUACUCUUUAAGCCACCAAGGGCUUUAUUGUAUUUUCCAAUCUUUUUAAUACAAAACAUCACAAUACUAAAUAAAUAUAUAAUUAAAAUUAAUUAGUGAAUCUUUCUGGACGCACAAUCCUUAUAUUGUGAAUUAGAAUAAUAGACUAGUUAUUAAGGUUAAUAUGGUUUUUUUAAAAAAAAAUUUAUUAGUUAUUAUUCAUAUUGAUUGGGAGAUAGAAUAUUAAAAAAAACUAAAAGGGCUCAGGAAAACACUGUAGCUACUGAGUGUAAUUACUGUGGACUGAAACAGUUUUUAUCGCUUGAAGAUCUGCUUUUCUGUGGUUUUCUCGCGCGAAGUUGUUUUAUGUGGUUUUCUCGCCUGAAAAAUUGCUGGAGAUUUACUUCCCUGUUGGUUUGUUGGCGCGAGAUGAGAGUUUCUAACCUGUUAGAUCUCGGUUGUGUGUGCUUAUGUGGGUUUGAGUGUGGUUUCAAGGCUAGGUUGGUUGAUGGUUGUUCCCGGAUAUUCAGUGAUUGUUGGGAGACCUUACCUGCAAUGUACAUGGUUGUUUGGAAUUGUUAUUCUCAAAAAUUCAUGAAAUAAUUAGCCCCCUGUUAAUUUUUUGGUCACUUUGAACGUCCACAAAUUGGCAAAAUUGAUAUGAAAAUAUUACAUUUUAUUUAAAAAUAAUAAUGUCGUACAUCAAUUUCUCUAAUUUAUAUUUAAUGCAAUUAAAAAUUAAUAUGUUGGUUAAUAAAUGAGUAUUAUCUAAUAAACUAAAACUGAUCAGCCUUUUACUGUGGUAAUCCAUAGUGAAACAUAGAGCUAUCUUCUUUUUUUUUAAGCUGUUCAAUUUAUCAUUUUUCAUUUUUAUGCCUUUUGCUUUUCUUUUUUCUUUUUGCUUCUUUUUUUUUUUUUUAAUAAAUUUAUUUUGUUUAAUUUAGUUUGUUAAUGUUAUUUUUUUAUUUAGUUAUUAGACUUUUAUAAUACUGAUAUUGGGUUUAACAUGUUAACUUGGUUUAACGAGUUAACCUGAAUUUUUUCUUUCUUUUUAAUUAAUUUUUUUCGUUUACUUUAAUUUGUUAAUGUUAAAUUUCUUUCUAUUUAGUUAUCAGACUUUCAUGACACAUAUCUCAGGUUUCACGAGUUAACUUGGUUUCACUGGUUAACCCAAUUAAUUAUGGGUUAACCCGUCCAUUUUUUUUAUUUUUUUUAUUUUGUUAAUGUUAAUUUUUUUUUAUUUAGUUAUCAGAAUUUCAUGACACGGAUCCCGGGUUUAACGGGUUAAUCUGGUUUGAUGAGUUAACUCAGAGUUUUUUUUUUUGCUUUUUCUUCUUUUUAAUUAAUUUUUUCCUUUACUUUAGUUUGUUAAUGUUAAAUUUCUUUAUAUUUAGUUAUCAGACUUUCAUAACAUAUAUCCCAGGUUUUACGGGUUAACCUGGUUUUACUGGUUAAUUCUAGGUUAACCUGUCCAUUUUAUUUUGUUUUUUUUCUUUUGUUAAUGUUAUUUUUUUUUAUUUAGUUAUCAGAAUUUUAUGACACGGAUCCCAAGUUUAACAGGUUAACUUGGUUUGACAAGGUAACCUGGAGUUUUUUUUUUUUUUGCUUUUUUUCUUUUUAAUUAAUUUUUUUCGUUUAGUUUAGUUUGUUAAUGUUAAAUUUAUUUCUAUUUAGUUAUUAGACUUUCAUGACACAUAUCUCGGAUUUCACGGGUUAACCGAGUUAAUUAUGGGUUAACCCGCCAACUUUUUUUUCUUCUAUUUAGUUAUCAAUCUUUCAUGACAUGAAUCCCAAGUUUGAUGGGUUAACCUGAUUUGAAGGGUUAACCCGGUUAAUUUAGAUUUUCUUUUUCUUUUUCUUCAUUAGUUUUUUUCUUCAUGUUGGUUUUUUUUCUAUGUUUUUUUUUAAUUUUUGAUUAAUCUAUUUAAUUAUCACUUUUAUGACACGAUCUUGCAGCCAUACCCACAUCCAAGGCUCUUGGGUCUGGUGUUGCAGCCAAACUCAUUUAAACUUGAGUCAUGUAAGUUUAAUAUUAUUAUUAAUAUUAUCAAUAUUACUUUAGAACCAAGACUUUUGAGUAUAUCUUUGCAUAAAGACUUAACACUCUUAGAUCUUAGCCUUUUGUAUUUUUUAUGCAAGAAAAAAAAAAUUACCAAUUGGUAUGUCUUUGUUAUUUUUUUUCUUUCCUUUUCCUUUUUAAGCCUUUUACUGUGGACUGCACAGUGCAAUCCAUAGUGAAAAAACUGAUGCCUUUAGUUUUUUUUGUUUUUUUAAUUUACUUUUUUAAUAUAAAAUUUUUUCUAUUUAAUUAUUAAAUUUUUAUGACAUGGAUUCUAAAUUUAACAAGUUAACCUGAUUUGAUAUUUUUUAUGUAAAAAAUAAUUAACCCGCAGCAUUGCGCAGGUCAUCGAACUAGUUAGUUAUUAUUUUGAAUCAUCUCAAAGGAUUUUUUUUAGACAGUACUUAUAGCCUAUUAACCUUUAUGACAACAUUUUUUUCUCCUUAUUUUUUAUGAUCCUUAAAAACCUUUAAAUUUUCAAAUUAGCAUUUUAAUGCUUUUUUUUCUUCAUAUUUGUUUCUUAUUAUUUUGAUUAUUAAUUAUUUUAUUUAAAAUAAUAUAUAAAAUUAUUUUUUUCAAUUUUAUCAUUUUUUAAUUUUUUUAUUUAUCAGAUUUAGUCCUUAUUCUUUUGAUUGCUAUUUGUUUUAAUUGAGUUUUUACGAUUCCACCCUUUACCAAAAAAAAUUUCUUAUUAGAUUUGAUCAUCAUUUUUUAAAUUAUAAUUUAUUAUAUUUUGAUUCAUUUUAUUAAUUAAAUUUAUUUUUCAAUUUCAUCCCUCAACAUUUAAUUUUAUUUUUAUGUCAAAUUUGAUCUUUAUUUUUUUAUUACUAUUUGAUCGUUUUUUUAUCUUUUUUAAUUGAAAUUUUCAUUUUCAUUUUCAAUUUCAUCUCUCAAUAUUUUGUUGAUCUAGAAUUUGAGAUUGUGAUUUUUUUACGUUUGUUUUUUAUAAAGAAAUCUCGACCUUAGAAUUUGAGUCACAGGUUUGAAAAGUUAGUUUAGAUUAACUUGAAUGUUUUUUUAGGUUCUUUUUUUUUACAAUUUUUUUUUAAUUCUCUUUCAAUAUUAGAUUUAUUAGGGAUUGAACUUUGUUAUUUUUUUCUAUUCCUUUUACAAGUUUAUCUCAAUCUUAUAUAAUGAUAAUGAACAAUAAUAAUAGUGAUGAUAGCCGUUAAAAUAGUAGUAAUAUUAAUGAAAGUAUUACUACUAUUAAUAAUAAUAACAAUGUUAAUAAUUAUUGUGGUGAUAAUAAUAAUAAUAAUAAUAAUAAUAAUAAUAAUAAUAGUAAAAAUAACGAUAUUAUUUAUUAUUAAUAAUACUUAUGAUAAUGAUUUUGAUUUUUUUAAUUAUUAUUUUUGUAAAUCUUGUUUGAUAUUUAAUUUUAUUUUUUAAUAUUUAAUUUUUUAGAAAUUAAAUUUUAUAAUUUUUUUUAUAGAUUUGAUGCUUUAAAUUUAAUGAUUAGUUUAAAAAAGUUAAUAAUUAAAAUAUUUAAAUAGAAGAAUAUGUUCACAGCAAUUAAUUAAAUUAAAUUCCUUAUCUAGAUUUGCAGAUCAGUAUGAAGCUUAUGUUAAAAUGGCCGGAGUGUUCUUCAAUUUAUGACAAAAUUUCAUAAAAUGGAGGGAAAUCUUUUACUAUCUUUUCUCUUUUAAUUUCUCCUCUCUCUCUCUCUCUCUCUCUCUCUCUCUCUCUCUCUACCUUGUUAAAAUGUUUUUUUAAUAAAAAUAAAUUAUUAUUAGAAGAUAAUUAUAAAAGAAAAAUCUAUAGUUUAAUUUGAAUUUUAUUUUAUUUUUAUAAAUUAAAUUUUGUAUUAUGAAUUAAAUAAAAAAUUCAAAUAAAAUAUAUUGUUGAGAAGGUAAUCGGUUAUGUUACUGGACAUACAAAAAAAUAAUUAUAUAUAUAUAUAUAGUUUUUGUAAUUAUACUUUAUUAUUAUUAUUAUUAUUAUUUUUAUUAUUUCUUCUUCUGUUUCUACUCUUCUCUGCUAAAGUCUACUAGCUUAUAGUCAUCGCAUAAUGUCCUCCUCCAUCUUUCCAUUCCAUGCACCUCUCCUCUCUUACCUUCUUCUCCAAUGAAACCCCCUUAAUUCCCUCCUCCUCUCCCUCCUCUUUCUCUCCUCCCAAACAGUCCUUUCUUUCAAACGAGAUGAGUUCCGCAACUGCAACCAAACUCCCUUCUGCAAACGCGCCCGCUCCCGCUCCCGCUCCCCCGGCGGGUGCACUUUAACCCCUCACAACAUCGCCAUCUCUAACGGCGACCUCACCGCCACUCUCCUCUCUAAACAUGAAGACCAAGUCCGACCCUUGAUCCUCUCCCUCUCGGUCUACCAUGACGGAAUCCUCCGUCUGAAAAUCGACGAAGAUUAUGACCACUCCCACCCGCCCGCUUCUAAAACACGGUUUCAGGUCCCUGACGUCAUCAUCCCAGAGUUCGACUCUAACAAACUCUGGCUCCAACGACUCUCAACGGAAACUCUUAACGACGAAUCCUCUCCGUCAACGGUUGUUUACUUAUCGGAAGGUUGCGACGCUGUUCUCCGUCACGAACCUUUCGAGAUUUACAUUCGCGAUAAGCAAUCGGGUAACCAGAAGUUAAUUUCGUUGAAUUCUCAUCAACUAUUCGAUUUCGAGCAAUUAAGAGUGAAAAAGAAGGAGAAGAAGAUAGUGAGACUUGGGAAGAGAGAUUUAGGGGUCUACCCGACACGAGGCCGUAUGGUCCGCAGUCGAUUAGCUUUGAUGUGUCGUUUUAUAAUGCUGAAUUUGUUUCUGGGAUUCCGGAACGCGCCACGAGUUUGGCAUUGAAGCCACUAGAGGGCCAGGAGUGGAGAAGGGUUUGGAGCCGUAUAGGUUGUUUAAUUUGGAUGUGUUUGAGUAUUUGAGUGAGUCUCCAUUUGGAUUGUAUGGGUCGAUUCCGUUGAUGAUUUCGCAUGGGAAAGAAGGGAGGAGCGCGGGGUUUUUUUGGUUGAAUGCUGCGGAAAUGCAGAUUGAUGUGUUGGGAGAUGGGUGGGAUGCGGUGUCUGGGAUUGAGUGGGUGAAGCAGAAGAGGAUUGAUACGUUUUGGAUGAGUGAGGCGGGGAUUGUUGAUGCGUUUUUCUUUGUUGGUCCGGGUCCGAAAGAUAUCGUGAGGCAGUAUACGAGUGUGACGGGGAGAGCUUCGAUGCCUCAGAUGUUUUCGAUUGCAUAUCAUCAAUCUAGGUGGAAUUAUAGGGAUGAAGAGGAUGUGGAGAAUGUGGAUGCCAAGUUUGAUGAACAUGAUAUUCCGUAUGAUGUUUUGUGGCUUGAUAUUGACCAUACGGAUGGUAGAAGGUAUUUUACGUGGGAUUCAGUGUUGUUUCCACACCCGGAGGAGAUGCAGAAGAAGCUGGCGGCGAAAGGGAGGCAUAUGGUGACAAUCGUGGAUCCUCAUAUUAAGAGGGAUGAUUCGUUUAGGUUGCAUAAGGAGGCUACCAAGAAAGGGUAUUAUGUGAAGGAUGCUAGUGGGAAGGAUUUUGAUGGGUGGUGCUGGCCUGGUUCAUCAUCUUACUUGGAUAUGGUUAAUCCUGAAAUUAGGUCGUGGUGGGGUGAUAAGUUCUCGUACAAGAAUUAUGUCGGUUCGACUCCUUCAUUAUAUAUUUGGAAUGAUAUGAAUGAGCCUUCUGUGUUCAAUGGUCCUGAGGUAUGCUCCUUAUAUUAUUCUUUCCUUCCUUUUUAUACUGCCAUUGAUUAUAUGUUCUACAUUUCUUUAUUUAUAUCAGUUGGUAGCUGAUAACAUAUUACUAGUUUUAUAGUCUUUCUAUUUGUUGCCAGAAAGACUGAGAAUUAAAUGUUAAUGGUGACUGAGCCUUGUAUUUACUAGGAGUAUGCAUGUUUGAUUUGUGGAUAGAUUUUGGCAUCCACUUAAUAUAAUAAUGUGAGAUAGAGCAAUAUCUUGAGGAAGGAAAGCAUCAAAAUGAUUAUUUUGUAUAUCAGACAGUUUAUUGUAGCUGUGGUGGUAGCUGACACGAACUUUCCCAUCGCAAUCCCUAAGGUGUAGCAUACUUGUAUUGAAACCAGGAAUUUAUUUGAUGGCUUAGCUACUUGGAAAAUGCCCUUUGUCCAUGAACUUGAGAACAUAAAUGAUGGAAAAAGACUUUCAUGGUGACUACUUUUCCUGUUCUGGCCGCAAUGACUGGCGAGGAUAUUAUUCUGGGCAGAGGCUGUCAGAUAAUUUUGGAAUUUCUCGGUGUUGCCUUGUCUUUUUCUUACACUUCUUCAGAGUAUUCUGAACUGGGCUUAAGAUAAUUCUGCCAUUAUAACAUUUUUAAACGGAUAAACAGAGACAAGAGGGUUUAAAUGAACUCAAUGGCUGUUGUUAUCAGGUGUCAAUGCCAAGAGAUGCUUUACACCUGGGAGGCAUAGAACACAGGGAGAUGCAUAAUUCCUACGGCUACUACUUCCACAUGGCAACAUCUGAUGGUCUUCUAAAGCGUGGGGGUGGGAAUGACAGACCUUUUGUUUUGUCAAGAGCCUUCUUCCCUGGAAGUCAAAGAUAUGGAUCUGUUUGGACAGGAGAUAACACUGCAGAUUGGGAUCACCUAAGGGUUUCAGUCCCAAUGAUUUUGACUCUUGGUCUCACUGGAAUUUCAUUCUCUGGUAAAUGGAAUUUUUUUUUUAACUUAUCAUUUGUUUUGAUGGAUGGUCAUGGUUAAUCAUUUUGUUAUUUCUUCAAACUCUGGCUUCUAGGUGCGGAUGUUGGUGGGUACUUUGGCAACCCAGGGCCCGAGUUAUUAGUUCGCUGGUAUCAACUUGGUGCUUUCUAUCCUUUCUUCAGGGGCCAUGCCCAUCAGGACACCAAGAGACGAGAGCCUUGGUUAUUUGGGUACUAAAUUCCUUCUUUUUUAUUUAUCUCACCCAACUAUAUAUGUCCAUUUUGGUGCUUGGUGCAUGAAGCCAUUGAGCAGGGUGGGCACUCGUGAUUGGUAGUGGUGUUUUACAUUGUUGUGUAUUCUUCACUCUUCUAGGCAUACCCAUUAUUCGAGUAUUCUGUACUUAUUUUUGUGUUGUAAUUAUGGCAUGAUUCCUUUUGCUUGGCUAUCAUUUUCCCUCCUUUCCUUUUGGAUUCAAGUCUAUGUUUUAGUACCUAUUUGUUUCUUAUUAUUUUCUUGGUGAGAUAGCUAGUUUAUGAGUUCUUUGUGACAUUGUUGGUCUCGAAUGUGUUAAAAUUGCCCUAGAAUCUACUAAUAUAUAGCCAAUUGAGGAGGGAAUUUGUGGAACUGAUAAGCUUUGGCAAUGAUCUUUGGUUAGUGGAUGCUUAACUUUCCUAGUCCAGCCAGCUUUUGUCUGUUAAACAUGUCUAGUUGGUUGCAUUCAUAUCCGCCAACUGAAAUAACUCACUUGGUUUUACUAAAAGGAUAAUCAUUUACUCUAUAUAUUUGUGCCUUGACCUUGUGAGCAUGAGAUCAUGUCGGCGGUAAAGUGUUUCUGGGCAUUAUAUAUUGUCUCGGAGCAAUAAAUUCAAGUGAUACUGCUGAUAGUCUUGAACUCUUGUGUAUGCCAUUCACACGUGCCCAAACAGAAGGACCAGACUUCAUAUAGAUGCUGAGUGAAGCUGGAAAAUCAAAGAUAUUUUGAAAUCUGUUGUUUAUAAAUCUGCAAAAUUUUGUGGUGGCAUGUGCCACAAGUCUGGAUAAUUCGACACCUAAUAGUUUUAUUUUUUGUUUUUUUUUUGCCACAAGUCUGGGAUAAUUUGAAACCUAAUAAUUUUUUUCUAUUUGUAACAACCUAUUAUUUUCCCAGUAUUUCUUUUUCCUUAUUGUAUUCGUCCAUUGUUUAUUUUAAGUAUGGUGAUUAUCUGAUAACUAUGGUAAAUGGAUAUCUUUUAAAUGAUUGCAGAGAGAAAAAUAAACAACUAAUAAGAGAGGCCAUACAUGUUCGUUACAUGUUGCUCCCUUACUUCUACACAUUAUUUAGAGAGGCAAACACGACUGGUCUUCCUGUUAUGCGCCCCUUGUGGAUGGAGUUUCCUUCUGAUGAAGCUACUUUUAGCAAUGAUGAGGCUUUCAUGGUUGGAAGUAGCCUUCUGGUGCAAGGAAUCUACACCGAGGUGCUACUCCCACCAAAACCUCUACAUAUUUUUUAUUGAUUUCAGUGUCUUCCCUUUAUUUUAUUUUUUUUCUUCUACUUCUGCUCCUCAAGUUAAAAUUUCAAUGGUUUUUUUUCUGUCCAGGGGGCAAAAUAUGCAUCUGUUUACCUGCCAGGGAAAGAAUUAUGGUAUGACAUUAGAACUGGAGAUGCAUACAAGGGAGGUAAAACGCAUAAGCUGGAUGCUGCAGAGAGUGUUCCUGCUUUCCAAAGGGCUGGAACUAUUAUUCCCAGGAAAGACCGGCUUCGUCGAAGCUCAACACAGAUGGUGAACGAUCCUUAUACUUUGGUAUGUAGCUAAUGGUCUGAUGCUUGUUGGGACAUGCCAGUCUCAACCCUCUACUUUUUGGAUUUUGGCAUUAAUAUACUUUGUUCUUGAAUUUCUUUUAACUUGCCUCUACAUGGUAACUUCUGGACCUGGAGGGUGUAGCAGUGGCUGUCUUGUUAUGGUAUAUAGAUGACUAUGUGCAUGUUGAGGCAGAUUUUUUUUCUUCUCUCUCUUCCCCUUUUUUUUUUUUUUUUUUUUUUUUUAAGUGGGGGUGAUGAAGUAAACCUCCAUCUGAGUUGAGGUCAGCCAUCUCUUCCACUCAGUUUAGGUGUGACAUUGAAUUACCUGACCUGCCUCGGUAGUCAAGCUAGCCCCACUUCUGCCACGUAGUUGUGUCAUGGGCAAAAAAAUUUCCAUCCUCAUGUGAUGCAGAAUCAUCAUGAUCACUAUGUUCUCCUUGUUCUUUAUCAGAGUGGCCCUGAUAGAAAUCUAUGUUUAGACAUAAAAAAACAUCAGCAUAAUGUAAUUCGAUAAAUAGCAGAUUUGAGGUUGUUUAUGCAAUUGUGAAAUAGGAAAAAUGAUUCUAAUUGCCAAAAAUCUUUCUGCCUGGCCAUCACUGCAGUGCAACGUGUGUUUGGACUCUCUUCAACUGUUUUAUAAGUUCUUUUUUGAGGAGCUAUCCAAUUUAGCAAGUUGUUUUCUUUGUUACUAAAGUACAUGGGGAUAUGUUGGAUCUUGGUUCUCUCUCUCUUGCGAUUGCCGUGAUUUGGUUACAAUUUAUUCUGUAAUUGACUUUAUAACAUGCUCUUAAAUGUUACUGAAAACAUGAGUGAUUGGUCCUAUCUCUGUUGGUACAGGUGAUAGCUGUAAACAGUUCUCAAGCGGCUGAAGGUGAACUCUACAUGGAUGACGGUAAAAGCUUUGAGUUUUUGCAAGGGGCUUACAUCCAUCGCCGCUUUGUCUUUGCAAAUGGAAAGCUUACAUCCAUAAAUCUAGCCCCCUCCAGCAGUAGCAAAUCCCAAUUUUCUUCAAAGAGCGUAGUCGAAAGGAUUAUACUGCUAGGUUACGCUCCUGGACCAAAGAAUGCUCAAAUUGAACCGGCAAAUCAGAAGGUUGAAGUUGAACUUGGGCAACUUAUGCUUGAAGGAAGACAUGGAUCUUCUGUUGUAACCAUCCGCAAACCCGCUGUCCAAGUUUCUGAUGACUGGACAAUAAGAUUGCUGUAAGUAACAUUUUAAGUUUCCAGAAAACACUGCAUGCAGAAUCGAUAAAUUGUUAGAAUACCGUAGUGAACUGCUAGACUGUACUAAUAUCAUAAAUUCAGAUGUCAUUUAAAUACAAACACCUAAACUUAUUCCAGUCUUCCAAGCUGGAAUUCUUACUGUAAUAUAAACGUCCUAUAGUCUCCCAUGAUUUAGCCUUUUGUUUUCUCUAUAUUUGCUGAAUAUAAUUCAGCAAAUAUUAUUCAAUAAUUCUAUUUAUCUUUCAUUUAAUUGUGGGUUUUUUUUUUAAGAAUUGAAUUGAACUAUUUUUUAUAAUUAUAUUUUCAGAAUUUAGAGAAUAUUCUUUACCUUUUUAGCGUGGUAAGGGAAGUAAUACCAUUUAUAUGAAAAAUGGCAUUUUGACGUUAUGGAACAGUAAUUAUCAUUAUUGUUGUUGUUUGGACUUUACUUCAUAAUUUGGUUUACUGAGCAUUUUUUUUUUCUUUUUUAGUUUUUAUGUUAGAUGAGUAUCAUUCAAAGUUUGACCCUCUCUUGCUGUUAUUUUAUCAUCAAAAGCUUUUAAAUAGUAUUUAAUUACUGUUUCUUGAUAUAAAAAAUGAAGUUGUUUUUUUAUUUUAAAAUUUUUUUAAAAAUUCAUUUAUUUUUAUAUAUUUUUUCAUCUAAAAUUAAACACCAACUAAACGCAUCAUUGAAAUACUCAUCGUGAUGGUGGUAAUUGUAAAUGCAACUUACGUUCUCAUUCACUUUUAUUUAUUGCCACCUCUUCUUUCUUACGACCCACAAGUCUAUCAAUCUCUUUCACAAAUUCCACUUUGUUUUCUGAUCAUCUUUCAAAAUCCAUGGUAUAUAAAUAAUAGAUUAUUUAGUGUUUAGAGUAGUGGUGAAUUAAUAUGAAAAUAAUUGGUUUUCUUCUGUUUCGACCGGGAAUACUAAAUUAAUGGUAGAAACAUUAGUACUUGCAAAAAUAAUAUCAAUCAAGGGGAUUUAAAAACCUUCUUAUGAUAAAGUCAGUAUUUUUAUGCGAAAGAUAAUAAAUGACUUAAAAAAAAUCCUAAAUUAAAGAAAUAUUUGUUAUAUUCUUGAGUUUUAAAAUGGUUAAUGCUCUGAAAUAUAUGCAAGUUUAUUUAAGAGAUAAAAAGUUUUGAACCCUUACCUAGAUGGUUCAUGGGGUAUUUAUAUUCCUAAAUAUUGUCGUCUGUGGAAGGGAAGGAUUGAAAAGUCUUUUAUUUUCAGUGACAUUAAUGAAAGAUAAAUAUUUCUAAUAUAUCAUUAACGAAAUAAUAAGUAUGAUAUGUUCCAUAAGAAAUCUUUUAUAUACCUAUAAGUGUAGGGAAAUCAUUACCUCAUAUAUGAAUAACUCAUAUAAUUAUUCUAGAUGGAGAGGUAUGGUGGUUUUCAUGCCUACAAUACUUUUAAUUUAGAAAAUCAUUUAAGAUCCGAUAUAUAAUUGUAGAAUCCAAUAAUCUUUGAAUCCAAGUGCUAUGAAUUUGGUUAAUUGUCAAAUUCAUGUGCUUUGAGCCAAACAUGUUCGCUAGUGUCCUAGGGCUUGGUGUGUCUUGAGUCUAACAUGUUUGAUAGACUCAUAUUGCUUUGGAUUUAACUAUUUGUCACAUCCAAAUAUAUUGGAUCUGACAUGUUUUUCAAGUUCAAAUCACUUAGAAUCUAGCUAAUUGUCAAAUCCAAUUGUUUUGGACCUGACAUAUCCACCAAGCUUAUAUUAUCUUGAGUCUAGCUAAUUGUUAGGCCAAAAUAUACUGGUUCUUGUAUGUUCAUUACACCUAUAUUGCUCUUGGUUAACAAAACAAAACCAAGUGUUUUAUACAGGAUACAUAUGUUAAAUCAUGUUUUUUAAAAACCUUUUUAAUUUAUAAAUAUUUAUGUCAAAAUUACUUACUCUUCAGUUUCCUAUCUUCAUAUCGCAUGAUAUAUAAAAUUGAUCCAUAUACCUUUUAACUCAAACUAAGUUUGUGAUUUUUUUUAAUUAAUUUUUGUUUAUUUUUAUGGGUAAUAUAUUGAGAUUUAUGGUGAAUCGUGCUUGAAUUAUUGCCGGUAGAUAUCGUACUGGACAUGGGCCCUAUUACAUUUAAAUUAACUUCAUCAAUAUUGUUUUUAAAAUUAGAUUUUGUUACCAUUUUUAUAAAAGAAAUUUGCCAAUUUUUAAUUUAUCAGAUUUAUGUGUUUUUAAUUAAGUUUAAAUGACGUUUUGGAUUUUUGUAUUAGGCCUAUACGCACCUUCUGUCAUCUUUAAGUUCACUUUCGUCUUCUUAUUUUUGCAACACACUGGGUACGUGAAAGCGCCUCAAAAGAAAGAUCUAGAGUUAAAACUACAGCUCCAUGUGGAGAUAUUGAAUGGAAAUCUGCAGUUCCAAUAGAUGGUGGUACGAGCAAGUAUUAAUUACAUGUAUAUUUUCUGGCAACGUAAUAUCUAAAGGUGAAAUCACUCACCUCAAGUAGUAUAUAUAGCCCCCGAAAAAAUAAAAAUAAAAAUAAAAAACAAAAAACAAGAAGCUGCUGCGAAACACGUACGCUGGAGAAGAUGAAGAACUUAGAGCUGCAAGGCAAGAAAACGUGAAGUAGCAUGAGAGGACACUGUCACUGUCACACGUAUAAUGGAGCAAGUAGAGGAGCAUUAAUUAUAUGAACAAGCUCUGGUUCUGAAAAUAGACAUCACUAACAUAAACCUAAUAUACACUGUUCAUCACAAACUGUGCUUGAAGAUGGAGUAUCUUGGACUUCUGCAGCGCCCGCCCUGCCCUGCUGUUACACUUUGCUCUUCCUGUUGAUCAAAGAAAUCUGCUAUUUAAACCUGUUUUUAGAUUAAUUACGAGACCAGAUCUUAGAACUAUGAUAUAUGCAAGGUAGUCACUUUAUGAAAUGCAUGAAUUUCGUGGAAGCAAUCAAUCUAGAACAUGACCCUACAUGAAUCAUACAUGACUUUAGAGCACUAACAGCAAUCUAAACCUGUUUACACCAUGAAUCUUGCUAUUGCUGAAACAACUUGGAUAAGCAUUGGUCUUGAUUUUCUUCGUUUUUAUAAACUCUUUCUUUUUCUCGAUUUAUUGGAUAACUUUCUAGUUAAAAAAUACUUCAAAAAAUACCAUGAACAACACACUAAAUCAAUAAAAUCAUCAAGCUUCUUCGACCAGUAAACCUCUCCUUUCAAUGGAUAGAGAUAGCUAGAAAUAGCAUGAUAUCAUCCUAAAAGCCUAUGCAUAUAUGAAACUAAGUAGGAGUCCAGGGCCAUCUUAAGUCAUGUUACGGCCUACGAUAACUGAUCGCCCGUAAUACUCAUCAAUCAUCCUACUGUGAAGGAACCCACCACCCAAAAUGGGAGGUGGUGGUGGUGGUGGUGGUCAAGCCCUGAAAACCACUUUCAGUGGUGGUUGCUGCAAUUAGCUCUCAAGAAAUCAUCUCACAACGUGGGUUUGUCACCUUCUGUAUAAAAUAUCAAACAAACUUUCUGAUAAACGUAGCAUGCAUUCAGUUCCAUUCAAAUUGAAAUUCUGAUUUCUUCUUCUUCUUUUUUCAAGUAUAAUUUUUUUAUUAAUGUUAAUGUUUGAGCUAGUUUGUGUGCACCUCAACUAAUUCCACGGAUCUUGAAGUAAACGAUUAUGUAAGCCUCCAGUAACUUUGAAAUUUAUAAAACUCAAAUUAGUAAAUUCUAAAAAAAAAAUCUAAAAUCUAAUUUAUUAAAUUACCCCUACCCUAUCGUAAUUUGUUCUGAAUGAUACAAGUUCCCAUUAACAUCAUUUUUAACCUAGUUUAUAAGCUGCAGAAAUUCAAUAAAUAAUAAAAAGAUCGAGCAUAUUAACUGUCAAAAGAUUAUGUGUUAUGUGAUUAAUAUAAUAAAAUAUUAUCAUGUUUUUUACAAAUAUUAUUUUAAGAAGGAUUAUUAUUUGUUAAUUCUUUUUUUAAAAAAAAUAUGAUUUUCUAAAACAAUGGAAAAGAAAAUAAAAACAACAACAGCGGAGCGUUAGCUAAGCAUUAAACUCAAAAUCAGCCUUAUAUAAUAAAAUUCUCUAGAUCAUAUUUGAAUGAAAACUUGAGAUCAAAUAAAUCCUCAAAAAAAAUAACAUUGAUAUUCAAAUGGCCACUCACAUCUUGAAUUAGUUUCUUAAGAUACUAGUUAGUGGUAGUCUUGCUUAUUGACUUUAUCCAACAUUUAAACUAUUAAAUGUGUGUUUUUGUUCAUGAAAUUUUGAUUGUUUUAUUUAAAUUAUUUUUUUUAUGUUUUUAUAUCAUUUUAAUAUAUUAAUAUUAAAAUUAUAUUUUAAAAAAAAUUAUUUUGAUGCAUUUUUAAAUGAAAAAUAUUUUGAAAAGUAAUUCCUAUUAUUCUUCUAGACACCCUUUAGAUUUUUUUGAAAAAAAACCCCUAGCUGAAUGCUAUUUAGAACUGAAAAAUUAGUACAUAAACUUCUUUCACCAAACUUCGAAAAGUAAUCCUGGACACCUUUUAGAUUAAAAAAAAAAAACUAGUUGAAGGCUAUUUAGUACUAAAAAAUUAGUACAUGAACUUGUUUCAUGAAACUUUUAAAAGUAAUUGUUAUUAUUUUUUCAAACACUUUUUAGAUUAAAAACAAAUACUGGCUGAAUUUUAUUUGGUACUGAAAAAUUAAUACAUGAACUUCUUUCACGAAAAACACAUCAAUCAUAUAACAUAAAUUUGUUGCAACAACAAUUAACAAUAUUUUGAUCCCAAAAAGACAAGUACUUUGAUCCACAUGCAAUUUGUCAAUAAUUCUGCUUCAGGAUUAACUAGGAGUUAAUCUAAACGAACGUAGAUCAAGCACGAUACUAACUUAUAAUGAUACCAGAAGAGCAUUAAGACGAGCAGGGGAGGGAGGGAGGGAGAGGUGGCGGGCAAAAACCAUCUCCCUUCUGCAGCACCAGCCGCCACAUGGAUUCUAUACUGCGGUGCUGCAACGCCAAUCAAAUGGCAUAAACAUUUUUAUGCUCUUAUAAGGUACGGAGGAGGAAGACAUCUAUUCUUCCUUCAACAAAGGAUGGAGGAGAGAGCAGACACGUUAGAGAGCAACACAAAAGUUCUUUAUCGAUGCAUUAAAUAGAGUAUAAUUCGCCAUGGUUGCCUUGCAUGCUUUGCUUUCUCCAUGUAUAUAAACUCGGAGGAGCCGAGGCAGAGACAGUGCAGCCAUUGGUUAUAUCACCCCAUCUUUCUAUAUUUUUCUUGCUUUUUAAUAAGGCCCUCUUUUGUACAUACUUGAACUCCUCCAUUUGAGGGAGAAGAGGGCCAGCUCGAGCCUAGAAUAAUGCAGGUAAUCAUCUCUUUGUUCCUUGUUUUCUUUCUUUUUCUUCUUCUUUUUAAUUUCUUGUCUUUCUAUGAUAAUUUGGCACGAAGUGUUUAAGUGGUUUGUGUUCUAAUUGGGGAAACCUCCACUCGCUAUGAUAUUUUUGAAUAGUUUUAACAUUUUAAAGAACACUUUUGAAAUAUAUCCAAAUACAUUAUUAAACAAAUCCUGAGUUCAAAAUAAACUUUAUUUACUUCGUUGGUUCUGUGCACUGUAGUAAAAAAAAAAUCAAUAUUACCAUUAAUUAAUCACUAGAAAUUAGCUAGGAAAAGCUAGUGGUAUCAUGCUCACGAAAGCUGAGGCAGGAAUCAGUGAUAAAAGCAGAGCAGAAGCGGCUUAUGAUUUAUUCUACUGAGUUAUGCAUGAUUCCGAGUUACAUGAGUUGUAAAAGAAAGACCUUUCUCUUCUGGGAGUGUUUCACUCUCAGAAGUGAUCGAGCCCACAUCUCUCUCGGCGUUGAGUCGUGGUCCCUGCAUUAUUUGCAUGAGAGAUAAGAGAGAGAGAGAGAGAGAGAGAGUUGACCGAAACAUGGUCUUCGAUGUUGUUGAUGGGUUAUUUGAAACGGAGCAAUUUGGGUUAUUGGCACACGCUCAGCUGUACUUGUCUUGUUCCUGUUUUCUCCAUCUUUCUCUCCUUUUUCCCUGCAUGAUUCAAGUUCGCACAGUCCAGAACUACAAUUACACCACACCACGUGUUAGAUGUCGGACAUUCGUCGUAUCUACAGUCUGAGCGAAUCUUGUAGCACUACGAGUCCGCAUCAUCGAACAUUACCCUCUCAGAAACACAGUUUUACAUUCGAUUCUGUAAGAAUUGAGUGUUUUGAUGUUCAUAAAAAAUAGUUGAAGUUCAUUGUAUAGAUAAUGAAUAGUUAGGCUGGUUACGUACAGUUCAGAGUUUGGUUUUAAGUUGAUUUGUAGACUGAUAAUAGAUUGAUUAUGGUGGGGCUCCAAGAUGUCAAAAAACAGUUCAUUGAAUGAGUCAAGAGGGUCCAGUCCACACUAUCAUUAUAUAUAUAUAUAGACACACACACACACAAAACACACCAUUCCCAAGCUCAACUUCAAUCGUAUUACUAGCUGCUGCCUUCCCCAUUCCUAUCUUCCCAGCAGAAAGUCCUGAGACCUAACAUAGCCAAGAAGCUGAGAUUUAGGUGGUGCAUACAAGUUCACUCUCCAUUUGUGCACGUUUGGGUAGGAGUUGUUGAUAAGUAAGACAAACCCAAUUUGGACCUGUACUUGCUAAGCCAUUUUAAUCACUCAUUUUUGUCACAGCAAGUCUCGUUUCCAACUUCUUUCGCUGAAACUUUCCUUUGCUUUUUUGGCCCUUUCCCAAUACAAGAUGGGUGAGAAUGCUGCCUCAAAGAACUACCACAACAACCACCACCUCCACAACCAUCACCAAGUCUUUGACGUCUCCGUUGAUGUACUCCCUCAAAAUGGUUCCAAGUGCUUCGAUGAUGAUGGCCGCCUUAAAAGAACUGGUAAUCUUCGCCAUCCUUCCCCUGUUUCUGCCCGGUUUACAUUCUGUUUCUUGUAGAAGACUUUGUUCAGGUAGAAAACAUUUCAUAUUCCUGUUGGUUGGUUUGUGUCUUCAGGUACUCUAUGGACCGCUAGCUCUCACAUAAUAACAGCAGUGAUAGGAUCAGGAGUUCUUUCCUUGGCAUGGGCUAUAGCUCAACUAGGAUGGAUUGCUGGUCCUGCUGUGAUGUUCUUGUUCUCAUUGGUUACAUACUAUACCUCAUCUCUACUCACUGACUGUUACCGGACUGGCGAUCCUGAUACAGGAAAAAGAAACUAUACAUACAUGGACGCUGUUCAAUCCAUUCUUGGUAUCAUAAAACUAAACUUCUUUUGUCCAAGCAUUCAAAAAAUACAUAAUACUGCAACCCUAAUAAUACAGACCAUGUUGGAAUGUUUCAUUUUUUUCUUCUAUUUCACCAAUGUUAAAAUUCUCUUGUCUUCAAUGCUUAUCAGGAGGAGUAAAAGUCAAUUUGUGUGGCCUUGUUCAGUACAUAGGCCUAUUUGGUAUUGCCAUUGGUUACACCAUUGCAUCAUCCAUAAGCAUGAUGUGAGUUGGUCUUUUUACAAAUAUUCCAUUAACUUCUUUGUUUUUUCUAGUUUUCUUUAAAGCUUGAUUGAUAAGUUUGGUUCUUGGUUACUGGCAGGGCAAUUAAAAGGUCAAACUGUUUCCAUCAAAGCGGUGGACAGAACCCAUGUCACAUUUCGAGCAACCCAUACAUGAUCAUGUUUGGUAUAACAGAAAUUCUACUUUCUCAGAUUCCAGACUUUGAUCAGCUAUGGUGGCUCUCUAUCGUUGCCGCGGUCAUGUCUUUUACUUACUCUACCAUUGGUCUUGGCCUUGGCAUUGGCAAAGUUGCAGGUAUAUAUUUGCUUUAACUACAAGCAUCUCCGUCCGACAAAGAGUGUCUUUGUUUCCUUAUUUAGUUGUCCGAAAUGCAUCUCUAAUUUGCUCUGCUAAUGGAACUCUACAAUUCUCUAUCUUCACUGGCUUGCAGCUAAUGGAACUUUUAAGGGUAGUCUAACCGGGAUAAGCAUUGGAACCGUAACCGAAACUGAAAAGAUAUGGAGGAGUUUCCAAGCACUUGGGGCCAUAGCCUUUGCAUAUUCAUAUUCUGUCAUUCUUAUAGAAAUUCAAGUAUGUAUGAUCACCUAAUAUCAAAGCCCUUUUUUUUUUAGGCUAGUCGAUAUGAAAUUUUUUUGAGGGAUUUAGCAUUGUUUUCUUUGCUUUACAGGACACAAUUAAAUCUCCACCAGCAGAAUCAAAGACAAUGAAGAAAGCUGCCAAGAUAAGCAUCGUAGUGACAACAACUUUCUAUAUGCUUUGUGGUUGCAUGGGAUAUGCGGCUUUUGGAGACCAAGCUCCUGGAAACCUCCUCACCGGCUUUGGUUUCUAUAACCCAUAUUGGCUUAUUGAUAUUGCCAACGUUGCCAUAGUAAUCCACCUGAUUGGAGCAUAUCAAGUGUUUUGCCAACCUCUCUUUGCUUUCAUCGAGAAAUGGGCAAACCAAAAAUGGCCUGAAAAUUACUUCAUCACCAAGGAAUUCAAAAUCCCAGUCCCAGGUUUUAGGCCAUACAAGCUGAAUCUAUUUAGAUUGGUUUGGAGAACAAUAUUUGUGUUGUUGACCACUGUUAUAUCAAUGUUGCUCCCGUUCUUUAAUGAUGUUGUCGGAAUUCUCGGUGCACUUGGUUUUUGGCCCUUGACGGUCUAUUUUCCAGUGGAGAUGUACAUUGUACAAAAGAAGAUACCAAAAUGGAGCACAAGAUGGAUUUGUCUCCAGAUGCUGAGCAUGGCUUGCCUUGUGAUUUCUCUCGUGGCUGUUGCAGGCUCGAUUGCUGGUGUUGUGCUUGACCUUAAGGUUUACAAGCCCUUCAAGACAAGCUAUUAAACCGGUGGUUGUGUGAUUUGUUGAGUAACCAUGGCAAGCUAGCUGAAAGCGAAAAAUUGCAUCUUGAACUUGAUUGUUCUUGAAACAAAGGACUGAAAAUUCUCGUGGGUGGUGUUUGUGUGGUUCAUCAUUUGUAAUUUUAUGUUGAUUUCUCUUCAAUUAGUGCUUGCUCCAAGUGUCUUAGGACUUUGUAAUUUGCAUAAGGAAUCCAACACGAGUUUUCAUUAGCACCUUUGUCAAUUCUAAAACCUCAAAUCUAGACAUUAUUAAUUCAAUAUCACAUGUAAAUUCCAUAAUCCUCCAAGGCUUGGCCUCAUCAGUAUAUGGAUAUGCUCUUUGCAUUACACUGAUGACUAAUGACUGAUAGAUUAGGAAUUGAUCAAACAUAUAAAAAAAGUGUAAAGUAUAAUUAUUUAGUAAAAUAUAUGAAUUCGAGAAUUUUUUGAAAUUUAUUAGGGUAAUUAUGAAAUAAAUAAUCAAAAUGUAAAUUUAUAAGUUUUUUCUUAUUUUUGUGUCAAUCCUAGCAACGAUUGGUUAUAUACUAGCUCGAGAUGAAAAAAGCAAAAAUAGUGAAGAUAAAAAGGAUAUAUUUCCUUUAUCUCUUGUUUUGAAAGAUAAAACUUUAUUUUAAAAUUAGACAAAUUUAUUUCAUGCUUUCAUCUUGUCCCUCCAACCAAAUUUAUUCUCGUUUUUUUUAUAUAUUUAUUCUUUUAUUUUGUUUUAUUUUGAGAUACUAAAUAUGUAAGUUGUAACUAGUUUUAAAAGUUUGAGAACUCAACUAUAUAAAUCAUCUUGCGCCUCCAACCAAAUAUAUUCCCAUCUUUUUUAUAUUUAUUCUUUUAUUUUAUUUUGAGAUACUGAAUACAUAACUAGUUUUGAAAGUUUUUACUUUUAGUUAUACUUUUGCAUUUAUAAAAACGACUGUUUUACAAUGUGUCAAACCCAUCGAUCAAAUGCAUGUCCCUUUACUAGAAAAGGAAAAGGCCAGACAGAAUCAGAAGAUGCUACUUGAUAAACAAGUACAUUUUUUUAUUCUGUAUUUUAAUUUCAGACAAGAACAUCAGAGUGUUCUUGAACCUAUGAAAAGAAAGGCAUUUUGGAUGGUCUAAAAGAAAAGAAAACUUAAUAAUUAUGACUAAUAAACAGCAUCACGGCCACCGAAAGUGCUUCUUGUAUUCUGUGCCACCAGUUAUAGGAAAGAAUAAUUCAACAAAUACAUAAAAAACAGACACAAGGGAAAAAAAAUAUAUAUUUGUAAUAGGUAGUGGAGGAAUCUUGACAACUGAAUUGUUUGACAAGAGCUAUUCAUAUAUAGCAAUGGCUAGAAUGCUGCUACUUUUGUCAGAAAUUUCUUCUCCAGUCACCUUUAAGAAAAAUCUCAUCUUUUGCAUAACCUGCUGUAUGUGAUAUGGGGAAGAAUCUUUCAGUAAAAUCAAUAUAUUCAUAUUUCAUAAGUUUAUUUGCCGGAUCUUGACUGAAUGGCUAGUGUGGAACGUUGUUAAGAUCAUAUGUACAGCUGAGGGACACAUUUGUCAUCGUUGUUUGUAUUGAUAAGAUGAAACUAGAGAAAAAUGGAGACAGAUUUCUGUUAAUAGCCAUCCUUUCGUAUGCAAAAUGAAAUACUGCUCAGCCGUAGGAACCGGUUUUGUGAAAAAAUCCUGUGUAUGCAGAGAACAAACCAGACUGAAUUGCGGUUCCUUUUUGCCUGGUCAGGUGGCUUUUGAACAAAAAGUUGAAUCUGCAGAGUCAAAUAUAUUUCCUCUCAAUAAAUUUAUAACCAAAAACAACGUUUUGUCCAGGAAGAAUUUACAUUCAGCAGUAAUAAGAGUGCAAAAUAUGACAGUUUAGGCAUUGCCUGGUUCAGAAAGACAGAUACUGGAAGCUUGGGGACGGAAGAACAGGUUAUUGGUGUUCCAUGGAUCUGGAGUAAUCAAAUCCGCAUCCGUUUGACAUCACUCUCAGGAACACUUGCAUCAUUCCCAUUACCCCCAAACGCAACAGUUUGCCUCUGAACCAACAGAUACACAGGAAGUAAAGAUUAAAAUCUUGAGAUAUCACUUGGUACAACAUUGUUGUCAUCAUCAUUAUUUUGGUGAUGAUGGCUGUUAAUUUGGGUUCUUCUGAGCAAAAACAUUACUAAACACUCUAAGAAGCUUUGAAAAGCAUGUUCUGGCAUGGAGAUUUAUCUAACAUUUCAUUCCACGCACGCUUUUUGUUAAAGAAUAAUAUAAAUCAUAUCCUAGAAUCUUACCUAACAGCUUAAGCUAUUAGAUUGAGAUGGUUCUUUGACAUGAUAUCAAAGCCUUAAUAAUCAAGCGGUCACGAGUUUAAAUCCCUAUUUAUUUGAUAAAAAUUAAGAACAUAGUAAUGUUAGCAUGUACAAGUUUCUAGCCCAAAGGGCUUUCAUUUGAAGAGGUGUGUUAAAGAAUAAUAUAAAUCAUAUCCUGUCACUUAACAGUUUAAGCUAUUAGGUUGAGAUAGUUCUUUAAUACUUUUCAAAUGCAGAACAUAUAGGAGGUGUUCUUGCAAACUCACUGCAUUGAUUUUUUUCCCCUUCAAAAUAUGCACUCUUCCUUAAUCAAAACUAGUUUGAAGAUUGUUAAAAUUACAGUAAGUCUUUGAAAAGUAAUGCUAAAAAAUAACAUGAAAAGGAAGAACAAAUCAUAACUGUUAUUGAAGGAAUGGCCGUGUAAAUAUUUUGACUAUGAUAAAAAUGUGUAUGUCCUGAGAUGUGUUUUUAUAACAACAUUAUACAAUCGCAUUUAUUUCCACGUGUAUACUCCAUGUGUCAAACACUAAUUAACAUGCGAAUUCAUUCCUGAAAUAGAAAUUUUAGCUUGAAUUCCUAGAAGCAAUUUCCUUUGGUGACAAUAUCUUUUCUUUCUUUUUUUAUUUUUGUUCUUUGUUCUUUGAUAUCUACAAGCUGGGUUACCUACAGUCCUUUGGGGCAUGCUAAAUGACAGCAGCCAUUUUAUUAUCAUUACCAUGCUGCUACAUAUGAUUGAUGCCUUUUGUUAAAAUGGUGAAAAAAGAAGGUGAAUUUACGCCUGUCCAACUUGGUGUCCCAACUAUGAUUGUUGAAAUUUUAGAAAUGCAAACUUACAGAUUCAUCAGGAACAAUGGUAUAUCUCUCAGAUGGUGAAACCCAGGUUUUCUAUGUCAAGAGGAUUAGAGCAAGCAACAGAUAAAUAUGCUAGUGCACUAGAUGUUAUUCUACAAAACAUAUUUCAACUAAAACUAUUGAAAUCAUAAGACCUUUUUCGGUGUAUUGAUUGAAAUUAACGAGAAAAAAAUACUUGUUUGUAAGCCAAAUGAAUUAUAUCGGCCCAGGGAGGCAAGGCCCAAAAUUAAAUACUACUGGAUGUGUUAACGGGCACUUCCAUUGCAGACACAAGUGAAGUUUGUCAUACUUCAUGCAUAAUUCACUCCACAUGAGCAACAACUCAGGGUUAACUGAGAAACGCAUCCACAAAUACAUGCAUCAUUACUGCAGAAGCACUUAUCCAUUUGAUCCAUCCUCAAAUAAUUUGGGAACUACAUCCUGUUUAUCGUCCUUUCAUGAAAAAUAGCCAACGCUUAUUGAGAAAAGAAAAGAAAAAAUGACCCUCCAUAUGUCGAUCUUUUAAACAAAUUUCUGCAAAUUGUCAGUUUCCAAAGGCAAACCAGAAAUCUGCAAAUCAUGUUCUCAACUCAUUAUAAAGAGAAGGAAGCGAGAACCAAAGAAGUUUUGGUUUUCAACACAUCACCACAAUAGCUUGUGUUGUUAGAUCGAAGAAGCUAAGGUGGAGUUUUACUUGCAUAUCCAAAUUCAAGUAAACAGACUCAAUGUGCCUUUGUCUGCAAGAAGGAAGGCUGUCAGCAUCGCCGCGGUAUUCAAAGAAGUCGUAAAAGUUUUAAAGAUUUCAUUAUUUGAGUGUCCAAAUUUUGGGAACUCUUAUGCAAAACUCGAUGUGAGUUUCUUCCAACCAGUAACUGGCUGGGGGAUGGUAUGAUGCAGAAAUCACAAGAUGUUCUAGCUAAAACUCGCCUCAAUUGAGCUCCAAUGCAAUUUUCAAUAGUAGGUUGAGUCAUCAUCUCCGACAUGUCCAAACUGUACACGGGAAGAGAUACACCAACCAAUAAGCAAUAUUUUAAGAACAAAAAUGGCAUAUACAAGUAGAGAUACAAUUAAUUAAGCCAUGCAAUAAAUAAAUAUAUAAAAGUGGAAUAGGAAACAGUUCAACAAGCUUCCAUGUCAAAGAGAAGUAAAUUCCAAUAAUAUGCAAGACAUUGUGCACAUGCAUGUAAGAAAUUUUUGUGAUUGCACAUUUGCAAGGCUCAGUUUCCACUGGGCACAAGAAUGGAAAAACUACUCGUUCUACAUGUCCUGUUUUCACCAAGCAAACUAACAUUUACAUUCACUAUGAGAUGACGCAUACUUGUAAAAUGAAGAUUAAGCAAGUAAAUAGUAUAAACCUUAUUCCAUCCCAAGCCCUAAAGUUUUCCAUCAGAAGCCGAUGCCAUGGUGUGUCUUCAGCCACCUGAUAUCUGGACAACAGUUAAAGCAGAACAAAUUUUGAUAUUAUGUGUCAAAUAACCAUCUCAAUCCAAUAGUUUAAGUUGUUAGCUGAGGUAUCAAGAUAUGAUUUAUAUUAUUUUCUAACACACCCCUUCAGUGAAAGCCCUUUGGGCUUGAAACCUGCACAGAUCUAUAUUAUCUCGUGCUUGAUUUUUUAUCAAAUAAAUGGGGAUGGUGAGAUUUAAACUCGUGACCGUUUGGUCAUUAAGACUCCGAUAUCAUGUUAAAUAACCAUCUCAACCCAAUAACUUAAACUGUUAGGUGAAGUAUCAAGAUAUAAUUUAUAUUAUUCUCUAAUAUUCCGGAUCAGAAAAAACACUAAAGCAUGCCAUAAUGGAGAUCUGAAGUUGAUUAUUAGAAGCUUAAGAGAUUUACUGAACAAUUGGGGCAUCACAAAUACAAGCAAUGAGUCUCCAUUACCUUUCAGGCACAUCACUUAAGGUUUACUGGUUCUUACAAGAGAGUCGCCUAAUUAUUCAUGCAUUUGUGUUUAUCCUGUGCAAUUCUUCUUCUUCUUGGGGUCUGAAGAACCAGUAAACCUAAGUGCCUGAAAGCCUUGGAUUUUCUUAGGCACAAGAGAGCCCUCAGUGGUGCCAAGACCAAGUUGACCAUUUUGAUUCCGCCCCCAACUUCAUUGAUACAAGCAAAAACACAAUGAAUAAAAUGAUUCCCCACGCGACAGAAUCAAUGAUUAAGAGGGAAUUUUUUCACAAAAAAACUCUCCAGUAAAACUCUAGUAAUCUAAAAGAGAUAAGGUGAUAAAUGUUUAAAUUUUCCCGGGAAAGAAAAGGAGGUAAUGAAAAUAUUUUGAAUGGUUAUUCUCAAUUCUUUUCCUAUUCUGGAAAAUUUUUUAAAAAGUUCCUUGAAGAUUCACCUAUCAGGAAGACAGUCAUACCCGUGACCUAACUGCCCAUCUUCUCCCCGUCCCAGAGAGCAAACAAUGUUUCCAGCUUUCAAUUUGUAGUCUGGUUGGAUAUCAGCUGGAGAGACCACCGUGAGAGCUAAAGAACAUGAAAAGAGUCAUUGAAAAUCCUAGCAUUCCCCUCCCUCCACAGACCCCACACCGCCGCAAACAUAGCCCUAGCCCCUCCUUGAAAACAUUAAAAAUGUCCUCCAUCGUACCCACAAAUCCAAAAAACCUAUUCCAUAAGCCAUGCCACAGGACAGAGCAACAAAAAGAGCACACGGUAAUUGAAAUACCCAUUGGACGGUUGUUUUACAACUUUUUUAAAAAUCACUUUUCAAAUUCUUUCAUGUCUAUUUAACUUCAGAAAAAUUCACUAAUGAAAACCAGUUUUGAUCAAAGGAAAAACUUAUACAUUUCCAAAGAAAAGUGUUUUCUUCUCUCCACUCCGGAAAACAUUUUCCUGAUCUUUAGCAAAAAUAUAAUUAAAAUGAAAUGAUUAAAAUAUCUUUGAAAUUAAUAUUUAUUACACUGAAAUUCAAAAAUCAUUUUGUAUUUUUAUAUUGACUUUUUAGUAAUAAUUAAGUUGAUCGAGGAGUAAUUUAAAAUUAAUAAAUAGAAAUAUAAUUUAAAAAUAAAAAGUUGCCGGCUUGUGUGUCAAACACGCCGCCGAAUUGAGACAGUGCGAGAUCGCGUAUGGUGAUCAAAGAUAGCCUUUCUUGAUGGGGGAAGAAUCAUCUCAGCAGGACGAUGCGUGUGGCCUGGUGAUUUCUAGUUUGGGAUAAAUUUAUAGCGACAAAGAUAGAACAUGUGUCAUCCAUCCCCUUCAUUAUAUUUCUAGUAAUGAACAAAUCUAAGGCGCCAUGUACAAACUGUGGAGACAGAAAUGGCUAGACAGUGGACUUUUUUCUGGUGCAGAAAUAACGCCAUUGAUGACGGCAUUUACAAAAACAUAAAUUAACUACAAGGUUAUUGACUUCUUACCCAGUCUUGAAUCUACUCACAAAACCAAAUUUGACUCCCCCAAGCGUGAGGCAAGUUUUCAUUGUUUAUAUCACACUGACGAAACUCCCCCUUUUUCUUUUUCUUGUUUUUAUUCUUUAAAAAAAAUUUAUUCUUGGACUUUUUUCUUUUUUGAAUUAACUUUCUGGGUCUAUUCUGUGAGAUAAAGUUUUCAGUUGGGCUUUUUUUAUAGUGUUUCACUAUUUAUAUGAACAUGAACAGUGCAGCAUCUGCUUCUUUUUCUUUUUCUUUUUCUUUUUCAACUUUAUUUUUAGACUUUUGUCCCCUUUUGUUUUGAUCCUUUUUGGGUCUAAUUACAUUAGAUCAAGUUUUCAAUUGAAUUAGAUAAAACUUAAAGUGUGAGAACCAGAAUAUUAAACAAAAGGAAAAUUUAUCAGCAAUUUAAAAACAUUUAGAACUUUUCUAAAAUUCAUUUUUAAUGUUUCUCCAACCCUUGAGUUAAAGAGAAAAAAGAGAAACUCAUCUAAAAAUAAUUGAGAAAAGAAAACGUUGUUAUUUAACCAUAAUUCAGCCACCAAAAAUAAAUAUAUUUUUUUCAAUGAGUUCCUCUUCUUGAGAUAUGGUUUCCAAGAAAAUUCAUUAGAUAGCAUAUCAACUUCAAUUUUAAUUUUACGGAUUUGGUUGAGCUUUAUUUUUAUAAGUGAUUUUGGGGUUGUUGGAUGGUUUAUAUGGGUUUUAUGGUGUUUUGAGUUUUUUAUUUUUAUAAGUUCGGCUUUGCAAGCCUAUGUGAGAAGCCUUUAUCUCUAAUGGGCUAGGCGUUAGGUGACUCGAGCCCACAUGUUUGAUCUAUUUUAUUUAAUUAAUUUUUAUGGAUUUAGAAUUAUUUUUAAAGAUUUGAAAUAAAAAAAAUUAAUAGAUGAAAAAUAUAUUUUUAAUGUUAACAAGAUAUAUUUUUAAUUAAAUUAUUUUGUUACUGGUAUGUUAUGACUUGUCCUUGCUUUUCUUCUUAAGUUUAAUUUGUUGUCCUUUAUAUAAAAAGUUUUCAAUUAACACAUGGUUACAUUGAAAAUAGACUAUAAAAAAAUCUAAUGUAUUUUUUUUUAUUUUAAUCCUCAUCAUAAUUAUUAAAAUAUUUAUUUUUAUUAAGAUUUUCUUUUAUGAUUCUCAUAAUUAUUCGGUCCAACAAAUAAAUAUUUUGAUAAAAAAAUUCCAAUAAAACAAAUAAAUUAAAGUGGCGCAUAAGAGCCAAUGCAACAAUAAAAAUCAUGUUUCCAAUGCAGCGUUAAGAGCGGCGCGUCAUCCUCUUUCCAGUAGUGUGACGCUUGUUAACGGAUAAGGUUUGGUUAGGCUAAGGUGAAUGUUUUUUUUUAUUCUCUCUUUUCUCUCUCAUUCCCUAGAAAAUCGCAUUUAAACUUCUAGAAAAAAUAAUUGUGUCUUCAGGUUUGUAAUCUUAUUGAUUUUUGUUAUUUUUCUUUUAGUUACUAUUUAUCUGGCUUCUGAACCUUUUUGAAUUUUGAAACUUUUUUCACUUUCAUUUUUUUUUAUCUGGUUUGGUCCAUCUACUUUUAAUUAUUCUAUUUUUGUGUUUUAUUUUUGUGUUUUAUUUUUUUCUUGCAUUUGUUUUUCAAUUCAUUUUUUGUUUCCAUUCUUUUAAUUGCUUUAUUCUUAUCGUUUUCUUGAUCUGUCUUUUUUUAUUUAUUUUAUCCCUCGUCAUUUAAUUUCAUUUGGUUUUCUAUCCAAUUUUGGCCAUUAUUCUUUCAAUAACCUUUUUUUUAUCCUUUUUUUGUUUUGUUUUUUGUUUUACAAUUUAGCCCCUGAUUAAUUUGUGUAUUAUGUUUUAAGCUAGGAUAAUUAAUUUGUUUUACAAUAUCAUUCUUUCAAUAACUUUCUUUUUUUUAUCUUUUUUUGUUUUACAAUUUAGCCCCUAAUUAUCUUCUUUAAUUUUUUAUACCAUAUUUGAUCUGCAUUGUUUGGUUUUAAAAUUAUUUUAUGAUUGAAUAUUUUAUUCUAUUUUUGUUUUGUUGUUGCCUUGCAACAAGGCAAACCUUUAUUAAAAAAAUAGAUUUAAAAAAAUCAUCAUUUGUCAUUUGGUUAUAAAACUCUUAUCUUUAUUGUUUGUUGUACUUUUUUUUUGUUGACUUAUCACGGUUUCAUAUCUCAACUAAUAGGUUAAUCAAGUUAACUAUGGUUGCCUUAGAUUUUUUUUUUCGGAUUUGUUUUUGUGAAUUUUUUUAUUGGAUCGUUCUUUUGGAAAUCUAUUUUGUUGUAUUCCAAUCUCAUGUCGCGAGUUGUUAGUUAGUCGAGUUAACCCAAGUUGACUCGAGAUUUUUUUCCCUCCAUUUUUAAUGACAUCUUUGUUUUUCAAUUUUAUCAUUUCAUAAUAAAUUGCUAGCCCUUGAGCUUUGUUAUUUUUUUCACUUCUUUUUUUGUUUAGUUAUAUUGAGAGCGGGUUGGUAAAGUCAACCCGGGUUGGCUUAAGGUUCUUUAGAUAUUUUUUUUAUUGAACCUUUUUUUUACUAGCUCAUCCUUUUGAUAUUCUUUUUUUUAUUUAAAUUAUGUAUCGCAAGUUGUUAGUUCGUCAAGUUACCCUGAUUUGACCUGAGUUUUGUUCUUCUGUGUUAUAUUUUUUAUUUUAUUUUUUAUCUUUAACAUUAAAUUAUUAGACCUUAAAUUUUAUAAAUUUUUUUUUAAGGGUUCUUUCAAUCUCAUAUCUUUGGAUUGUAUUUUCAAUUAAUUUAAUCUAGAUUAUCUCAUAUUAUCGUCAUCUAAAUAUCAUUGUUUAGCAUUGAAAACUCCCCCCCUCUCCCUUCCCGAGGCAUACCACGGCCACCUAUUUAAUAAAGUCUAAAUGAAAAUAGUAAACACGUCAAAAGGUUGAAUUGGCUGAUCAAAACAAAUUCACAGCUCAUAUUAUGAAAAAAAUCUAGAUCGUGACAGAUAUUUUGACCAUUAGGGCUAAUGAAUUUUCAAUAAAAUAACAAGAUUGGAUCCAUUGUAUUUAAAUUCAUUGACAAUUAAGAAACCUGAGGAGGUUAAUAUGAUGAUUAAGUAGAUGUAUUUCUUCCUUAACUACUAGCUAGGAUUUAAAUCUCAGAUCAAAUUACAGAACGUAGAUUUUUUUGUAACUGUUUAUCUGACUAAAGCAAGGAGAUCAAUUUUAUUUUAUUAAAAAAUUAUUUAGGAUACCCUUCCACAAAUAAAGAAAAUAUCUACCCGCACAUCCACAUAGUGCAUGCAACCACCGACACAUCAAAAUGAACCCACCAUCUAUGCAUAUGUAAAGUUACAAUCGAGAGUUGAUCCAAUUCAAAAUUUAGGUAAAUGAAUUGACUUAUUUAAAAUAAAAAAAUCUAAAAUAAUAUUAUUUUAAUAAAAAAAAUUAUUAACUCAACCCAAGUUAGAGUUAGACCCUAAAUUGAUAAAUUAUUAAAUUAAUAUGUUACAAUAGUUCUUGUAAGUAGGCUACUAUGUUAAUUUGAAGGUGAACAAGUCCUUUCUCUGUAAAUAUUAAAAGAAACUAAAAGAAUGAUGAAAUUACUAUAGUGUUAAACAUUAUUCAUCCUAACACAAAUUAUUAUGAAUUGUAAUAAUGAUUUUUUUUAUAUAUAAUUUUUAAUUUAAUCUCUAAAUUUUUAUUUUAUAUAAUUAAGCUCUUUUGCUAUUACUAUAAGAUUGUCUAUUUUUUUCCCCAAAAAAUUAGGGCCCUUUUUUACUUAAAAACAAUUAAAGGCCCGGGCAUAUGGGUCUAACCUUGCAUGCCUGCACACAAGUCUUUUUUUGAUAGAGCAAACGCUUUGCCUAGCUCACUAGGCCCAACAACAUAUGAUUUUUUUUUAUAUGUUUUUUUUAAAAAAAAAUUAAAUUUAUAUUUUAAUUAAUACUCAUUCUUUGUUAUUUUGUUUUUGUUUAUUUAGUAUUUUUCAAAUAGUGUUAUUUUUUUAAAAUUAUAUUAUAUGUUUUUAAUUUUUGAAGAGGUUAUUAUAAUUCAUUUGGGAUAUAUAUAUAUAUAUAUAUUGAAUUUAUUUUUUAAAAUAAAAAUAUUUAUUUUUUUAUAAUAUUUUUCAUAUGUGCAACUUUAUAUAAUAUUUUUUUCUUUUAUUUUACUCGAUGAAUUUUAUGUGUGUAUUGAUUUAUAUUACAAAAUGACUUUAAUAAAAGAAUUCAUUAAGCACAACUAGAUAAAUAUCAUUGUUCGGCAUUGUUUUUUCUUAAAAAAAUAGCUUUGCGACUUUCUUUAAUUUAUUUUUUUUAUUUAACUAUUCCGACCUCAUGAUAUAGAACAUUAGUUUGUCAUGUUGAUUUUGACUAGUUUUUUUUUUAUGUCCAGAUAAAAUAUCUAUUGUGCUUACUCAUGUUAGCUCAUCCUACCUUUUUUGGUAUUCUUUUUUCAUCUUAUUUAUUUUGUAAUUGGCUAAAAAUCAUACAACCUUGUUGUUUUGCUUUUGGAUAAUUUUUUUUUUAAUGUUAUCGUGAUCAUAUAUAUAUAUAUUUCUGUUUUUAAUCGUUGUCAUUAUUUCCAUAUGAUUGUUAUUUUGAGAAGCUAUAAUCUGAAACUUUCCCGAAAGAACCAACUACAACUAAACCCAAACGGGUUAGUCACAUCAGCGGUACAUUCUGUAACUUAGCCCACAGAAUACUUAUUAGAGCUGAAACCAGUGGUCUCACCUUAACCGGCCACGUGUCUUUUCAUUAUCAAAAUGUUUUUGUUUUUUUGUCGAUUUAGGAAUAUUGCCCUGACUCAGUCUAAGAAUCCUAAACAAAUCUCUCGACAGAUCCUUGGCGCUGAGAACUCAGUGCCCCACAAACAUAAUUAGACGCGCUGUGGAGAUCGGAGAACAGGUCUUUCCGUGUUGUGUCUUUUAAUUUUGAACCUUUUUCUACUUUGAUUCCGUAAAUGAUGAUGGAGGCUGUCUCCCAAAGCUGGGUUAGUACCAUCUCAUCUUCACUGGUCGCUCUACUGUUUUGAUUUUAUCAAUCCAGUCCCUCUUCAAUUUCUUUUCUCAAUGUUGCCCUCGCAAUUCAUUAUGUUCUUCUUAUCUGGACAGGAACGGUUUUCUUAUGAGAGGGGAGAGUGACCUUUAUUUCUCUCUUUUUGACUGUAUUCACAAUAAUAUAUUUUACUGAUUUUUGCUUAAAUGACACGUGGGCAGUUUGGUCAGACUUAUUAUUUGACUUGGAUGAAAGGUCUAAAUUCAAAGGAAGAAAAACGAGGUACAAGGUUCAGGUUAACACAUAAAUUGACGAGGGGCUGGAUUGGAAGAAUCAAAAUAGUAGAGGGACCGAGCAAUCUAAUUUAACCAUAACUUUUUCUGUCUUGGUUGGUAGAAAAGGACACACUGACUACCCUGAUAACUCUUCCUAAAAGUUGAAUUAAUCUAGUUGGAUUUUAAAUUUAUUCUUUAAAUAUUUUUAAAUUUAUUUUUUAAGUAUCACAAGUUUAAAUGUUAGAUAUCUCAGGACCUCAGAAAAUUAAUUAAAAUACAAGAAUAUCCAUAAUUAAUAAUAAUAAUAAAAAAACUCUUCCUCAGUCAACCCCUCAGACAUCCAUGCCUUUCUCUUUGCUGGCCACCAAAAUCAUAGAAUAAGCAACAAUAAAAUAAUUUAUCUUGAAGUCACCAAUUUAGUUUAUGAAUAACUUGUUUUAGCUUCCAACUAGUUCUUUGGUUGGCUCUUUGACUUGAAUUAGAAAAAUUUUAAACUAAAAAAAUUAUUCAAGCAGCAAAGAAUUGCUUGAUACUGUUAUUAAAUUAGGUUUAGCGUGUAUUUGUUAUUUUUUUUUUUAUUCAACUUCUUAUCUAACCUAAAUUUAUAAUUACAUCAUGUAGGCGUUGUUUCAAUGUGACAUAGUCGAUUUGAUGAAUUUCAAUAUAACUUAGAUAAUCAAUAAAAAAAUAUAGUUUGAUUUAAAAAAAUAAAACAAUUUUUUUCUAGUAUUUAGACAACUAUAUAUUGGAUCAAUUUGAGUUUCAUGGAUUAACUGGUCAAAUCCACGAUCCAGAUUGUGAACAUCACUUGAUUUAAAAAAUUAUUUUUUUAAUUAUUUUUAACUUAGCAAAUAAAUACUUAUAAAAUUGAACAUAAAAUAAAAAAUUAUGAUAUUUUUUUGAGAUUAUAAUAACCAUAUAAAAAAUAAAUCAAGAUAAUUUAUAAAGAUAAAUACAAUAUUUAAGAAUGAACUCAAGAAAAGAAGAAUGAAAACGAAAAAAAAAAAGAAGAAAAAAGUAAUAGGAUAAAAAAAAGAAAAGAAAAGGGGAUGAAAAUAAUUUUAGAUCUAUUAAAAUAAUUUAAUCUUAAUAUAUCCUUAAGUGAUUAAGAAAACAAACACACGAAGAAACCUAAAACAAAAGGUCACAUGGAAACAAUUGUACCAACAAGUUUAGGUAGUGUUUAAUUAUUAUUUUAAAAUAAUAAAGAUAAAAACAAUAAAAAUAGAAAUAAAGUAUUUUCUGUACCUUUUAUAUUAAAGAUAUAAAAAAUAAUUUUAAAACAGUUUUAAAAACAUAUAUUUGAUAUUUUAUGUUGAUGUAAUUUUUUUUCAAGCUAGACACAUGCUAAAAAAGAUGUUAGUGGAAUUGCGAGGGAAGACAUGUUUGUUUUUUGUGUUUCAAAAAUUUUAAAAAUAUUAAUUAUUUUGUUUUAAAUUAAUAUUUUUUUAAUAUUUUAAAAUAAAGAUGUUAAAAAUAAUUUUUUAAAAAUAUAAAGAUAUUAUUUUAAAAACCUUCUCGUAUUUCGAACGCAACCGCGUUUGCCCACCGAUAACCGCUCUUAGCUCACGUGUUAUUAAAUAUAUUUAUAUAUAUAUAUAUAGAGAGAGAGGGGACCUCGGUUAGCUCUCUCUUUUUGAAACGCGGAUUCCUAAAGUCCGACUCUGUCUGUCACUGAAAUAAUAAAAAUAAACAAAUGCGGGGCUGGUCACCCGUUGACUAGGCCCCACACCUCGCAUAAAAAGACAAAUUGACUUGAAAAUUAAAUAUAAUAACAACCCAUCCAAUCAGAAGACUUUAACGCUUCAUAAGCACUCUAUAUAUUUUUAAUUUAUUUACAACCCAAUCCUUUCAUUUCAUUCCCCCAAUUUAUCCCUUUUUCUGUUUUAAUAAAUAUAAAAAAGAAUAAUACGGAGAGAUUGAUGAGAAAAGAAUGUAUUUUUUUUUUAAAGAAAAUAUUAUUAAAUUAAACACAAUCAGCUUUGGUCAAUGGUUGGUUUUAAUGGAAAAGGGGGUUUGAUGGAUUUAAUUUCUAUCAAUGAAAACCAUGAUUAAAAAUUAAAUAUUUUUCAAAGAUAAUAAAAUUCUUAAGCUAAUUUAUACAUCAACUGAAAGAAAAAAAGAAAUAAUAUGUUGACUUAUUUAGUGUGCUCAUAAUUUUAAUAUACAAGAUUUCAGGAUCAAGAUGGUCAAAGUACAAAUUUGAGGGACCAAAUAAAAUGUUAUUUCCCACUUUUCUAUUCAUUUUUUUCUUCUUAUAAAGAGAACAAGCAUAGCCUGCACCAAUCUAAAACACCAUCUUUCUCUUAAGCCUGAUUUUUCCAUGGAUACAGAAACUUCGUCGUAAGUGCUCACUCACAAAUCCCUCUUUCGCUCAAUAAUUUGACUGGAAAACUUGUAUUCUUCUCGUAGGCUAAAUUACUAAUCGUCUUUUUCUUGAUUGACAUUCAAUAUUGGCAGGUUUGAGACUAGUGAGAUGCUGGCCACUUUCUUAGCUUCCACACCAUUGCUGUCCGAGUCAUGGAGGCUCUGUAAUCUUGCCAAUGCAAAUUCACCUCAGGGUUUUGUAGCAGAACAGAUUGGAAGUAUUGGGUAUGUGGCCUUUUCUGGUAUCCAAUCGGUUUCAGGGUCAGACCCCAGUUUCAAGAAGCUGGUUCCUUUGCCUGAUGUUGGCAAUAGCAUGUUUCAUCCACUGCAUCGCCAAACUGAAGGGGAAGAACCAGUCUUGGUGCAAGGUGCCUUGCUGAGGAUCUUUGAGAAUAUUUACAAGGACCCAAGUUUUCAAAGCCAGGUUAGUUCUCUUCCUCGGUGAUGAUCUUCUUUGAUAUAUGUGUUAUUGGUUAGUCACAUGCUGUUUGGCUGGGAAGAAAAUCGAUGAAAAAUGGGAGGAUUAAUUUCUGUCUGUUUUCGAAGAAACCAUAUGCAGAUUUUGUUUUCUGGUCUUGAAAUAAAAAGUCAAAAAACAAAAUGUAUUAAGAACGAUGAAAAUCUCGCCUAUAGUUCUACGAUUACUUGCUUUGAUCUCAACAUUGAUGUUAGCGAUUGUCUCAUGGCGUGUGUCAGGUAUGCGCCCCCCUUUUUGCCCAUUAAAUGAGAAAAAGGGCCAAGUACCAAUAUUCCAUUCAUACCAUUAUAAUAAAUAAUAAUUAGUGGCUUGGCACAUUUCACACUUCAGGGAAAAGAUAUUCCCAUUCACUGUAGGUAUAAUAAGCACUAAGCAUUAUUUGUUGUGCUAAUUGGGUUAAAUAAUUAACUUUAAUCACAGUAAAUAAACACAUGGUUCUUUUGACUCACUUGUUAGCUUGGUCACAAACAUAAUCCACGAAAAGAAACUAGAAAAAGAAGAGAGGCCGGCAAGAAUUGAUGAAUCUCACAGCAGUAUGCACGUUGUGUUUUUAUGAAAGGCAUUUGCUUUCCGUGGGGACAAGGAAAGAGUUCUUAGGGCUUCACCCCCCACAUCUUCUCGCCUUGUAAAGCAAACAAGAGCUCUCCGUGUGAAAAGGAAUCAAGGAAAAGAGAAGCUAGAAGAAGUUAUCGGGCCUUGUAGCUAUCAUCUCCUUGGUUAAAAAUUAGAUGAACUGUUAUAGAUCACUAUCAGAAACUGACUUGAGAGGAGCUUGUGAGCUUCUCUAACCAAAUCACUAUCAAUCCCCGGAUGGAGCAAAAACAAAUAGGUGUGCUGGCUUCAUUACGUGUUCCACUACAAGAUAGGACGGUGGAUAUCUCUGAUCAUGAUGACCUUGUCUUUGGUAAUGACACUAAAAUGUGCAUAAACAUUGGUCUGUAGAAGACAGGCACAAAAACCAAAACCCACUUGUGCUCUGAAUCGCUGCUGGUUGUCAUCUUUUGUCUAGUUUUUAACUUUUUAUAUCCCUUCAAUUCGAUGCCUUGGUGCUGGAGAUACAUCGUGAGGGCGAAGUCACUCUUGCUGUGGCGUGUUGACUUCACUUGCCUUUCGUCCAUUUCCCUUGCCGGCUAGCAGCCGGAGCCUACCACAUAUUUUACAGCCGCCUAAAAAUUGAGAGCCUAGGUAUAAACCCAGCCUCUCUAAAAGAACAAAAUAGCUCUCAAUCCUGCCAAUAUUUGUCUGUCGUUCUUCUGAUCUGCUGCCAGCUUCUUUCAAAUCGAUAUGAAAGAACGUGUUUUGAUGUCUUUUACACUACUGUGCAUAUAGAUAUAAUAUAUCCUUUUUCCCUUUUGACAAGUUAAAAAACAUUACCUCUCAGCUAACAAAUUCAAAAUGUAUUUUUUUUUUGCCUUUUUAUAAUCUAAUAACCAAUUCGAAACUAAACCACCUUUGGUAUGCAUAUUUUGAACCCGAAAUAUAUAGUCUCUAUCCUACACACACACAUAUAUAUUCUAAUAAUUAUACAAUAAAUAAAAAUAUUAAACAAUAUGGUUAAUUGCUUUUAUAUUCAUGUAAUAUUUUAUUCAAUUUUUCUUCCUAAAUUGCUUUUAUAUUCUUAAACAAUAUGUAGUGUUUAUAAUAUGAGGGCUUGGCUUGAUGUUUGUAUCUGUUUUAAUUCCUGUAUUUUCUUUGAUUUUAAUUACUCCCACAAAUGAUAGAUUUACUGAUUUUAUUUUCUAUUCUCUCCCCUUCUUUGUUUUAUUUUAUUUAUUUUUAUUCAACCUUUUGCUUUAUUUAUUUUUACCACCCAUGUCAAAUCAAGUGAUCCUAGAUCCAUGUGUACACAAUAAAUGAAAUACAAUGCACUAGCAUCAAUAAUUCAGUCUCCGUUCAAUGUUGCUAGAGAACGAAGACUCGAAUUUAAUAAUUCCGAAGUGGGCUAUCUAUCACUGUUGAUAUCACACAUUUUUUUCAAUGUUAACAUUGCUAUAACAUGGAAAAAAUAAUAAAACAAUGGCAAAAGCAUGUAGCUUAGCUUUUUGAUGAUGUGUUUAUUUUAAAAAUAAAAAAUAUUAUUUUAAUAUAUAUCAAGUAAAUAAUCAUUAUCAUAAUAACAAAUAAAAUUUAUUGAGGAGUGAUUUUUUAAGAUAUUCAAUCAGGAUCUUCACCACAUUUUUUUUUGAUAUGAAUUCGGGCUAUUUUACACGUACCUCGAUUAAUUUCAUGGAUUCUGAAGUUAAUAAUCAUAUAAAUCUUAAGUGGUUAUCAUAUUACUAAGAACAAGACUCGAAUUUGAGAUUUGAUGAGAAAACCUUCUAAACUAUCAUUUUUGUUUUAAUUUUUUAAUAAUGGUGGUGAUGAAGAAUUGUUGACGUGGUUUCUUUAGCUACCACCGACUAAUUAUAAUAUUUGAACGUGAUUGACUUUAGUGACCACAUGGUUGACCAGGUACUAUAAACCCUACAUGUGCUGCCACAUUAGACCAAGUCUAAAGUUUGGCAGAAGCUUGAACUUCUAGAAUUUAUCACUUGCUUUUGAAAAAGCUGUCAUUUUUUUUUUCAUUUAAUUGCCAGUGGUAUCUUUGAAUUAGUUUUGCUUGAAUUUUUAUUUUUUUAAUUAAGAAAUUGUAUGAUAUCAUGUUUAUUUUUUAAGAGUGAACUUGCGUGUAUGCAGAUGCAAACACUAAUGCAGACAAGCAAGUCAAUUAUCUUCACAGGCCAUUCCGUAGGUGGAGCAACUGCCUCUCUUGCUGCUCUUUCGCUCCUCUCUUACCUUCAAUCAAAUUACUUAAACCUCUCGGUAUUAUGCAUCACCUUUGGCUCUCCAUUGCUCGGCAAUGAGACCCUUUCUCGUUCCAUUCUUCGCGAAAAAUGGGGUGGCAAAUUUUGCCAUGUUGUAUCGAAGAAUGACAUCAUGCCAAGGAUGCUCUUUGCUCCAAUGGAUCCCAUUGCUCCACUCAUGAAACCCCUGCUACAUUUUUGGCACACGUAUAUGAAUUCUCCGCAUUUUGGAUCGCUUGCUGUACCGUUAAGUGAUGACAGCAUGGAUCAAAUUUUCAAGCAUGUAGAAUUUCACUUGGGAAGAUUAGUAGAAGCUGGAGAAGAGGCAGUGACUGGAAUGUUUAGGCCAUUUGGGAACUAUUUUUUCUGUUCGGAAGAUGGAGCAAUCUGCGUGGACAAUGCAGCAUCUGUUGUUAAAAUGAUGCAUUUGUUGUUUGCGACGGCGUUGCCUAGCUCUAGCAUUGGGGAUCAUCUCAAGUAUGGUGAUUACAUAGGGAAAAUCUCCUUGCAAUUUCUGGAGAAGAGGAGUUUCAUGCAAGGAGAGCUUCCUGAAUCAAGCUAUGAAGCAGGUGUUGCAUUGGCUUUGCAGUCCACGGGAAUAUCUUGCAAGGUAGCGCUUUCUAUCAGAAUUAGCGGUAUUCUUUUGGUUUUGUUGUGCUAUAAUAGAUUUUAAGAGAAGUGGACGUACUUUCUGAAGUCAUUCUUUCUUGAAUCAAUGCGCAGGAACCGAUUGCAGGGAAAGCCAAAGAUUACCUAAAGGCUGCUAGGCGAUUGGGGCGCACACCAAACUUAAACUGUGCCAAUCUGGCGAUUAAACUGUCCAAAAUCAAUCCUUAUAGGGCUCAAAUAGAGUGGUAUAAAGCGUUGUGCGACCGGUCUGAUGAUCAGAUGGGUUACUACGACUCCUUUAAACAAAGGGGAGCCUCGAGAAGGGACUUCAGAGUCAACUUGAACCGGCACAAGCUGGCUCAGUUUUGGGAUAACGUAAUCAACUUGUUUGAAAGCAAUCAACUCCCUCAUGAUUUUCACAGACAAGGAAAAUGGGUCAAUGCUUCCCAGUUCUAUAAGCUCCUUGUGGAGCCAUUGGAUAUUGCUGAGUAUUAUCGAACAGGCAUGCAUCGUAGCAAGGGGCAUUACAUUGACCAUGGAAGGGAGAGGAGAUAUCGUAUUUUUGAUAGGUGGUGGAAAGAGAGAAGUGUUAGAGGGGAAGAUUAUAAACGGAGCAAGUUUGCAAGUUUGACCCAAGACACAUGCUUCUGGGCAAGAGUGGAGGAAGCCAGGGAUUUGUUAGAUGCUCUUAGAAGCACUAGUGAUCCGAGUCAUUUGGCUUUGCUUUGGCAGAAGAUAGAUAGUUUUGCGAGCUAUGCAAACGGGUUGGUUGAAGCUAAGGAGGUGUCUAUAGAUGUAGUGGCAAAGAAUUCAAGCUAUUCAUUGUGGCUAAAAGAUUAUAAUGAAUUGAAAUCACAAAUGGUGCAAUUCCGUCCCUUGUUUUUGAGUUUUGUGAAUGAGGAAAUGGUUCCAUAGUUUCCAUUGAAAGGCUAUGAAGCCAUCUGCCAAGCAGGUUUUGUAAUGAAUAUGUAAGAUAUAUUUUGUAGUUUUUAUUACACGAAUCAAUUUACAUAAUAUUAGGAUUCCUGCUGUGUGCCUGUCCCUCUUGCUUUGCAGAAAAAUGAUUAGAAAACCUUAUGCUGCAUACUCCACCAAAUUGAAUCAAAGAACAGGUGACAUUUAACUAACAGAGAUCGUAAAACCCCUCUUCUUUUGAAGGGAAAAUAACCGAACAAAUGUAUCUAAAGGAGAAACUGAAACUAUGGUGUUCCAAUAAAAACAUCCAAGGUUGAAUUAGUGAUAGAGCUUAUACCUCUUCCCAUUUGGAAUUAUCAAUGUUUCUAACAGGUCCCUUGAACAAUUCCCUUGCAGCCAACACCCGCCAAAGCAUUAUCAAAAUCAAACCAGCGACCAAAGCCACCGGCGUAUAGUUGAAUGUAUCCCAGGAAAUGGGGUAAUAAGUUGGCAGAGGAAAAACUGAACUAACAAAUCCACAGAAAGGCAUUGAAGCAAAGUGACCUCCUUGCUUUACCGAGGUAAAAUGGGCCCGGCUUUGAAAUGCUUCUCGGCCAUUACCAUUCUUGCAAAGAUUGGAACUGCAUAGCCUCCAGCCCAUCCAAUUGUACACGUGGAAGUUAUGGCAGUGGAGACUACGUUGACUUUCAAGAUAGUGAGUCCAAGAAGAAUACAGAUGGCUGCACACAGCCACACUGCGUUAGAGGGAACCUUAUGCUUUGGGUGGAUUUUUCGCCAGAUGGACGAAAAGGGAAUUCCUUCAUCUCUUGAUAACGCAUACACCUGAAGGAAACAAAGCUUCAACCUUGCAUUUUUAUGUAAAAGUUUCUAACAGAAAGAAACGGCUAUCAUUGUGAAAAUGCAAUUAUGUAAGAUUAGCUUCGAAGCUGUCAAAUAGGUUCACUGUGAAGUCUUGACUCUUGAUAAAGCUAUAGGCCUACAAGGAAUCAACCACUUACCACACUAGCUGCAUUGGUGGUGAUCGAGAGCCCUCUGAAGAAAAAUGAGCCCCAUAUGGUAAGCAGUAAAACGAUUGCUACAGCAGAAUUAUGAUGUCUGCCAUGGAAUGCAUCAUAGAGUAUUUGAGCUGGCACAGUUCACCUGUAUUCUCAUUUCUUGGGUAAUAAAGGUAGCAAAAAUCCUGAAGAAGAGUUGCAAGUGUAGAAUUUAGACUUCAGUUAAAUCCCACCAAGAAAAUUCUUGAGGGUGGGUCUAAAGUAAAUAACUUCUGAUAAAGACCACAAUAUUACAGUGUCCAAGCGGAAAAGAACAGAUAAAGGGUGCUAAAAAGAGUAAAAUAAGUUGGAAUUGGAAGGGAAGUUGUAAUACUUCACGACUAACAAAAUGAUCCCAAAGCUGAAAGUAAGGGCCAGGAUACAAGCCCAGCCAAAUAUUGAAAUGAUCCCAAUGCUAGAAAGAAUCGCAAAAUGUACCUUUAGUUUCUUCAGUAAGAUGGGCCAUAUAGAGAAUACUGAGUAACAAGGAAAGAUAGAAAAUGACUGCGUAAGGUUUGUUUGAUAUUCCUGUCGACUCGGGUGCCAUUUCGAAAUGCGUGAGCACACAUGAAGCAGAUUUUGUCGUCAGUGCCACCAGAGGAAGCAUUAUAACAAUAACCAGUCCUCCAAUGACUUACCAUAAGAAAUCACAAUCAAUAGUUUUUAUUUUUGCACUUGAGAGGAAGGGAAAAAGGAAAAAAUAUAGCAGUCAUACAAAAAGCAUUAGAUUUUACCCCACCAUAUGGAAAUUACAUCGAUGAAGGCUAUUACUUCUAAUGCAAAUGUGUUAAGCACUGCCCAUAUCAACGUGAGGCCAAUGUACAUGCAUAAGAACAACCAUUUAGGUGCAAAAUAUCCUCCAUUUUUAUUUGUGUCAGUGGAUAAUAGGAUGAUACUCUGCAAAGUUGGUGAACCAGCAUAUGCCUUCGAAGUAAAAGAAGUCAACAUCUGAAUCUCAUUCUCUAAUGGUGAGAGUCCACUGAAAAGAAAACUACCUGAGUACCGAUGCCUGCAACUAGCCCUGUGGUCUCAAGCCAAGCACAGCACCAUGAUGCAAAUGGCCCCAUCUGAGGCCAGCUAAAUGAGCAGCCCAGAGAUAGACAGAUCCGGUUCUGUUUAAUUUGCAACAAAGAGAAUGUUAGAUUCCUGAAGCUUGCAGCAACGGGUAUGCAAAUAGUUUAAUCAGAGCAUGAAACUUUUAGAUAACGUAUUCAGUUUUGUUUUGAGAGAUUACUGCUUGAAAUAUUCCAGUUAAGGAGAUCAUUUUCCUCUUAAGAAUUGUCACCCAUGUAUAUUCUCUUAGACUAGUAAGCUUUUUGCAGAAGCAGCAUUCAAUUCAAAGAUGUAGAAUUUGAUUUGAGAAAAAAUUGACAACUGAAACAUAGAAUCAUUAAGAAGAUACAGGGAAUUUUAGAAGGAACAAGCUUGAAAAGAGGAGCAGAUCUAAGCCAUUGCAAUACCAACAAACCAGGUGAAGAAAGAUACAACAACCCAUCACCAGACUAGACUUGCAGACCUGCAUAUAAAAGGCUUGAACCGUAAGGAGGAGUAAUCCUAGUGAAAAGGGUCAUUGUUGAGAAUGAUAUUGCAAGAGUUUUGAACAAAGUCUGCGAUAUAAAAGGAAAAACACCGUAAGUACAUCUGCAUAUAUGAUGUAAAAGAAAAUCUAAUAAAAUCCCAUCAACAACAAGAAAUAAUAAAGAACCACCAGCCACGCACAAAAGAAGAGCAAAACACAAUACAGCAAGGGAAUCCAGAUUCAAGGACAAUAUCUCUUCUGAGCUCUUGCUUGUAUCUUAGUUCAUUAUGCCGCUUCUUCCCAGGAUCCAUUUAUUGGACUUGUGUUGCCACUGGUUGUCUAUACUCCAUGGCAUCAAGAUAUUAUCUCCAGGAAGUUGGUUCAACACAAGACAGAACUAGUUAUACAAGUGGUUCCCUUCACCGAAGUUUUCAAAAAAAGAGAAGAGAGGGGGGUUGGCUUGUGCUUGCUUUAUACCAUGAAUCUUCGUGGCUUUUAAUGGUAAGUAUUAAGUCCAAGUUUGCUGAUGUUAUGCUUGAGUUUUCUUUGUUGAUUCCCUUCAAACAAAUAUAUUCACACGCAUCCUAGUAUCCAGUUUCACAUUUCUCUUUCAAUGAUUCUUAUAUUAUAUAUAUGGGGUAUCAAGAUGAGUUUCACCAUAGAAUGGUUCUAUUCUUUGAUGAUAUAAUAGUGGCAACAUCUUUACAUAUCUGAAGACUGGACAGAUUUUCUCAGAACAUGGAGUGAGAUGGCAGGCGGUGGAUACAUGUGAACACUAGUAGUUUUCUCUUCCAUAAGUUUGACUUCAGUUAACGAACUUAAAGCAUUGAUCAUUCAAACUUUGUGAAUGGAUAUAGUUAGGUAAGGGGACCCAUCAUAAAAUCCCUGAAAGCUGGGUUCUCAGAUUCAAGUCCCACUUGAUUAAAUCGCUUUCAUGGUCGAUAGAUUCGCUUUCGAUUGGAUUGUUUCUCCCAUAGAAUUUCAAUAAACACAUGCACUUUCAACUCUUAAGGAUUCGAUUUAUUCCACAACUCGUACACACACGCGCACAAAAACAAGACUUCGUGCUGGCUGCCCCGUUUCACCAGAACCAGAAAAGGUCAACUAAAAAGCUGCAACCUUGCAAAGACAAUCCAUCUCAGUACUUGAAAGUUUCAAGUUGAAUAACAUCUCAGUACUUGAAAGUUUCAAGUUGAAACAGAUACUGUCACGACCCGAAUCCCGGAUCCGUGACCGGCAACGCAGGAGCGGUGUCGAAAGGACACCUCACCUACGCUAAGCCUCAGAACAGACAUAUCAAAAGAACAAUUUGUUCCAAAAAUACGCAGCGGCUCAUAAUAUUCAGAAAUAUCGUAUUAUUCAAAACUGAUAAAACCGAAAGAUAGUUAUUAAAACAAAAUAAUAAUUCAUAAUACAUUUACAUUGUCAAAAUCCAAACGUAAUUAAAACAAGGUAACAGUGGAGCGUCUAAGACAUCAAAUCAAAACUGAAAGGAAAACCUCGCGAACAAGCAAGGCAUACCGACCAGAACUGAAGAAGCGGAAACACUCAACAAAGUCCCAGAAACUAAGAACCUGAAAUAAUAUUUAAAAUGAGGGUGAGUUCAACCAACUCAGUGAGGGAAUAACAUUUAAUAUACAUUUCAUAUAUUUCAGAUAUUAUUUGCAAGAUGAUUUAUCUUGAUAUACAUAUACAUAUACAUAUACUUACUAAACAUAUUAUCAUAACGUAGCAUAUUAUCAUAACGUAGUGGAUUACAUGUCAGAGAUCAGAUGACACCCGUCGGUGACCAGAUGACACCCGUCGGUGACCAGAUGACACCCGUCGGUGACCAGAUGACACCCGUCGGUGACCAGAUGACACCCGUCGGUGACCACUGUGGGAUGAUCAAUCACCACAGGCUGAUGCCUCUCUCACCAGCUAGGUAACAGAAUACUAUGUGCACACAGGCUAACUAUUCUCCGUUAGCAUGGAGUACUGACAAGUCCCAUAUCAAGGCAUAACAAUAUUCACAUAAUCAUCAAAGAAACGUAUAUCAUAUCAAAUAGAAUUUACUUUAACAGAUUGCGAGUGCAAAUUCAAGAAUAAAUGAGUACUCGGAAAAUAAAGCAACAUAUAUAAAUAUUCAAGAAAUUUACUAGUUGUACUCAUUGUAUAAUCAACAUACAUAUUUAUUUAUAUUAUAUGCAUAUUAAAGAUUAUUCCACUCACCCGGAAAAUAUAGAACUAAAAGGAAUGUCAGACAAAAGACCCGGAAAUCCGAUUAAGGAUCGUUAGGAGAACCUACAAUAAAUAUAUGAAAUAUACUCAAAAACAGAUCAAACAAAAGAUCCCAAAGCAUAAAAUAAACCGGGCUUAAUCUCCCAAGUUUAGGGACUAAAACGACAAUUUUCCAAAAUAGGGACCAAAACGUAAUUUUACCAAAUUUUGAGGACCGAACUGUAAAUAUAUAACCAUACUGAAAUUUAUCCAUAAUUAAUCCUCAAUUCUGUCCAGGAUAUAUCAUUAUGCUCCAAGGACCAUUCUGGAACUUUACAAAUUUUUAGGGUCAAAUUAUACUUUUUGUCAAAUUGGAGGACCAAACUGAAAAUAUUAAUUAUACUGGAAUUUUGUCCUUAAAUCAUCCUCAGUUCUGUUCAGAACCUCAAUUUAUGCCCCAGGGACCAAUCUGUAAAAUUUCCAAAGUUCGGGGACUAAACUGCAAUUUCCGUAAAUUGAGGGACCAAACUGAAUUUUCGUCAUCUUCAACCUCAAACCCAGAAUUUCAACAGAUCACCUACUGUUAGUUCCAGAUUUAUACCUCAACUUCAUCAUUCAAUUCAACCAUAACUCAAAAUCAUCAUAUUUCUCUACAAUCUCUCCAAUUCAACUAAAUAAUCAAAUACCCACAUCAAUCAACCCCUUAAUUCAACUAAUUCAUCAAUAAACUCAAAAUUCAAAACUCUAAAAUUAAUCAAAAACCGAAAUUUAAAGCUAAAGAAAACAUAUUAUACAUAUUCAAGCAUAAUUCUUACCCUUUUACUUGUUUUCUUCAACCUUUUCCUUUUUCCCUUAUUUUCCCUCUUUUCUCUUCUUCUUCUUCUUCCUCUCUUCUCUCCUGCCGAUUCUCUC